UCUCUCUCUCUCUCUCUCUCUUACACAGUACGUACUAAUAACACAAACACACACACUCACACACAUUCAUACACACACAUACGUAUACACUGAAAACUGUGGCCCCCAUACUUGAACAGAACCCCCAGCUUGCUUGUCGCACCACCAUCACCUCCAUCCAUUCAUUCACCAACAAUUCACCUUUUUCUUCGCUUUUUCUCUGCCGUUUCUACUGUUUCUUUCUAUGCUUGCAUAUCAAGUGUAAUCACCUUGCAUUUUUUAAUUCCUAAUAUAUAUAAAUGAGUGUUUGAAAGUCAGAUAUGAUUCUUCUUCCAGUGAGCUUGGCUCACUACGCAAACACACAGUCCUGAACACACAUGUUCUUUCCUUUUCCCCUCUGCAUCUUUUUCACGAAUUUGGGUUUUCUAUCCUAUACAUAUGUCCGCAAGCAAACCAGAAAAAACACUCCUCAGAAGUUAAGAAUCAUCAUGCACAUCACUCCCAUCUCAUCUCGUCUCGUCAUUGCACACCCAUCAUUAGGACCACUUCUUUUAUUUUAUGUCUCUAAUUCACAGAAACAAAGACUAAUCUAAUCAUCUUAAUCUUUUGCUUUCACCCACCAUCUACUCUUAAUCUCGCAUCACCUCAGGCUAACAAAAAAUAUACACUUGAUUCUUCCAUUAACUCCAACAAGGCUAAGCAUCGUCAUUCUAUUUUAUAAGGAUUUCAGUUCAGAUUGCCAAUGUAAAGACUUUGUUAAUAGUGAUUUCAAAACCACUUUUAUAUCAAGUAUGUUUUAACCCUAAUUAAUAAACACUAAAACAACAUUGCUUUAUAAUUCUAUCUUUUAACUAAGUAAUCUAUUAUCUAAAUUUCAACAAUGUUAUUUUAAGUAUGGAAAAAAUCCUGAAAAUAUAAUAUAUAAGUUUGUGCACUGAUGGCCCUUAAUUGCAUUAAAAAACUGCAAACAUCAUUAAAUGAACCACUAAAUUCUAAUACUAUCAGGCUAAAUUUUUCUAGUAAAAAGAGUUGGUUCUAUUAACUAUUCUCUCCUAAGUUCAAAUUCUAAUGUAUGCAAUUUAUCAUAAUUUUUAGAAUUUAUUACAUAAAUAUCCCUUCAGAUUUACCUUAAUUACACAUGCAUCCUUUUAUUUUCAGAAACAUACCAAUGACACUCCUCCCCUGACGAAGUUAAUGGUAUAACGAUCUUAAAAUUAAAAUUAAAUAUAUUUUGAGUUCAUUAUUGUGAAAGUCCUAAAUUGUUCUUCAAUUAAGUUAGAUAGAAAGUUGUGGAUCCCUCAUUUUGUAAAGUCUCUAGUUUGGAUUUUGAUUUUUCUCUCUCAACUUCAUUUACCUUUGAAUGUUUCUCAUGGAUUUAAGUCUGCAAUUUUACACAGAUUUGGGUUUGAACACCUAGUGUUCAUUAUAUACAAAAAAAAAUUAAAAUGUUGAUAAAAAGAAAACACCGAUUAAUAAGGGAAUUGAUGUUUGUGUUUUUCGUUUUCUAUUCUUUUGUAUAUAAGAGUUGAAACAUAACUAAAAUGUUUAAUUUAAUUUAAUUUAUUCUUGUUUGAUAAAAAAAAUAACUGAUUUAUUAGUUUAUUUAAGAAUUGAUGUAGUAGGACAAAUUAUAUUGGUUUCUUAGGUGUAGUAUAUGUGUUUUUAGGUUAGUUUACAACUAUAUGUUCUCUUCAGUUUCCUUCUUUGUGUUGUAUUUUUUUGUCAUCCUUUAUAAAUUCUUUUUUUUUUACACUUCAAGUCUUUAUAAAAAAAUGUACAUUAAUAUAUUUAGGUAUUACAUAUGUUUAUAAAACUGUGAUUUUUUAUGUUAGAAAUAUAUAUUACAUAGAAAUGUAUAUAUUGUAAAAUAGACUAUACAAAUAUAUAUUUAUUUGUUGAUACAAACUAUUUGUUUCUGUAUCUAGAUAAUAAUAAAUAUAUUUUUUCAGUUGACUUAGAGAUUUGCUUAUUGUAAUUGAAAGAUACUCUUUUUUUCUGAUUUUUUGGGAUUAUGCAAAAAAAAAUUAUAAUCUGAAUAAAGAUUGUAACUAGUACCUGUGCAACACACAAACUUUUACAAAAGUCUUAAUUUUAAAUUAUAAUAUUAUAAAAAUAUAAUUUUUUGGAUAUUAUAUUAAAUCUGGUAUUACAAAAUACAAAUAUAAGUCCUUCAAUUAUUAAGAAUAUAAGAUAGUUAGAAGAAAUAAAAAUUUUAUGUAAAAAGGAUAAUUGAAAUUAAUAAAUAUGAAAUUGACAAAAUUUUAAAAAAUGAGAUGAGACAUGGUAAAUAUUAAUAUUUUUGGGUUAAUUAUCUUAUUUUUAAUGUCAAUCACGUGAAAAUACGAAGUCAACACAAUCUUAAUAAGACAUCAAGUUACAACAGACAAAAUAUAAACUUAUAUGAGAGAAUGAAAAUGAGAUAACGUAUGUUUGUUUGAGUUAGGAGUGAUAAUACGGGUUAGUCGCAUUGGUCUAUCUCGCAUUUAACCCACAAAAUAUGGAUCGGGUUGAUCCAUUUCACAAAAGUGACACAAACUGAAUUUGUUGGUCUAUACUGUAUAAGAAUUUUAUUUAUUUCAAUUUUUUAUUACAUAGUACAUUAAACAAUUUAAUAUUUAUACUUAUUUAAGAUUUUGAAUAAUUUAGAAAUUUUAUGUAUUUUAACUUUUUAUUGAAAUAGUUCAUUAAAUAAUUUAGAAUUUUUCUUUAGAGUUGAUGGUUGAAGUAUUUUGAAAUGUUUAAUAUUUAUUUAUUAAUUACUAAUAAAAAAAAUAUUUAUUUGUUGCCUUCUUUUAAAGUGGUACAAUAUUAGAAUAAAGUGUUCAUUUUCUUAAAUGGCUUGAUUUUUUAAAGAAAAGUGGACAUACAAGAACAAAUUUCUUAAAGCCUUACUAGAGUAAAUUGCUCUAAGAUUUUCCAAAAGAAACUUAUUUGACAAUACCGUAAUACAAAAAGGAGAGGUAGCAACAAUUAAUGCGCAGAUAACGACCAUAUUCUGCAAGAGAUUUUAAUAAACUAAAGACAAUAAAAAUUAUGAAAUAUGACAAAAUCAGCCUCGUGUCCUUCUUUCAUAAUUCGAUCUACAUGUUUUGUACCAUUCACUAUUAUGGUAGGCAUUAUAGAUAUAAACAUGAGACAUAUGUUGGAAAUCCUAAAUAUACUAUGAAUAAAACCAAGCCAAAUUGUAAUAUAUUUAAAAACAUAUUUAAAAACUACAGGUCUUAAUAUUAAAAAAAAUAAACAAGAGUUUAAUAUAUGAUUAUUCAUUUGUAAUAAAGAUAUAUAUUUUUUUUUUAAGAAGUGAAGUUUAAAUAUAACUCAAUCUUAUAAAAAUUAGUUUGUAAGUUGAAAUUUGUAGUUAUUUAUAUUUUAUAAAUUAAUUUUAUCUUAUCUCUAUUUAAUAUGAGAUUUUCACAUCAUUCUCACAUUGAAACUGUUAACUCAUUCAUGAGACUAGAUAUUUAUGAGUAGUCCAGUAUUUAGUAGUGAAUAAUACCAUAUAUUUAAUAAACUCUCGUUAUAAUAAACUUUAAAUAAAUCUAAUAUAAAUUUAGAAGUGAAUUUUAAACAUAAUUUAACUUAUGUUGAAUUGUGUAAAAUAAAAUUUACACUAAUUUAUAUAGUAUAAAUUGUUCUUAUCUCUCCAACAACUUUAUUUUAUUUCUUUUUCUUUUUUAGAGAUACUUUUAUUAGGUAUUAUUAUUUGAUUCCAUCUCACAUGUCUAUUUUUGUGUGAUAUUAUUGUAAAAAAUGUAUAAAAUUGAUUUCAUGUGUUGUUUUAUUUUGAAGAAAUUGUAAAGAAAAGAAUGGUGCUAUAUUUGGGGUGACAGGGUGAAAUGGUUGCUCCACUUGCAUCCAGCUUGCACCAAAAUGGAAGAUACCCAGUGACUCUUCACCUGUUCUUGCGUGUCCUCACCCAUCCCUCAAUGCAUCAUGACCACCAUGUGUCAAUUUAUGACAAUCGCAUCAUCAUGUCCCUAAAUUCUUAAAUAUAUGCUUAUCUAGAUUCCAUUUCCUUUUAUUUUUUCCCCACAUUUUCUUAUAUUUCUACCAAUAUACCAUGCUGACAUCCUUUUGAUUUUCCAUAAAUAACGAAUUACAAAAAAUAGGAACACUAAAACUAUAAUUAAAUCUUAUAUUUAUGACUCAAUUUUGGUUUAGGUUUUGAAUUAAGUGAAAAAAAAUGUACCAAAUAGAUUAGUUUUUAGACUGUGUUGGCCGAAUUCAAACCCAAUCAACAAACAUUCGGUUGAUUGAAUUUAAUUUAAUUCAUUGAGCUUAAAAACACUAUUGUUUCUGACAUUUUUUUAAUUUCUAUUGGUAUGCUAUUUUUCAUUCUAGUCCUUUUUUCUAUUGGUAUUCCAAUUUAAUUCAAUUUAAUAUUCUUUGUUAAAGUGGAGUAGAAAAGCAAUAAGAAAAAAAAGGUUAAAAGGUCAAAACAAAAAGCAAAUAUCGUGUCCCUUAAGACAUCAGUAUAUAUAUAUAUAUAUAUAUAUAUAUAUAUAUAUAUAUAUAUAUAUAUUAACUCAGUGAGAUUGCAGUCCACUAUUUCACCAUGUUAUUCUUAAUUAAAUCUAUUUACUUAAAUUUUACUCAAUUAUUUUAAUCUUAGUCUUUAGUUCAAAUUUAGGAGAAACUGAAGUUUGUUUAGUAGUAUUAGUAUUUUCUAAACUAGUUAUUACUUUAUGAUUAAAUUACACUUCUAAUCUUGUAAUUUUGGACCACUCUCUUUUUAAUACAAUUUUUAAAACUUAUAACCGGGAAUGGCUUAAAACCUAAAAUUUAAUUUGUUUAAGAUUUGGCCUAUAACAUUUCUAAGGUUCUUUAAGUAAUCAGUUUAUGGUUGGGUAUCUCUCAAAUGCCAUCAGUUUAUGUUUGUAUUUUUUAUUUGUAAACUAAAUCACUAUCUUCACCACCAUUGCAAUAAAAUCAUUACAACAAUUAAUUUAAAAAGAUAAUAAUAAUUAAGUUUAAUACUUUCUAUAAAUUAAAAAAGUUAAUGUUAUUUAAAAUAAUUUUUAUUAUAAAUACAAAUUAAUAAAAUAAUUUAUAAAUUUAUAUAUGAAAUUAUUUAUAAAUAUUUUAAUUAUUAAUUACUUUAGAUUCUAAAUUAGUCUUGUGAUUAAUUUAAAAAUUAAAAUACUUAGUAACUAAAAUCUUGUUAAUUAAUAUUAGAUAACAAUUUAAAAAUUAUUUUAUAAAAUUUUAUUAAUGAUAUAAACUAUUUUAGAUACUAAUAAUUUUUUAAUUUUAAAAAAUAAUAUUUAAUUUAAUAAAUAAUAUUUAAUUAAGAAAUAUUAAUUAUUUUUUGUUUUUAAAAUGUAGUGAAAUUAGAUCUGUGUUUUUUCAUUAGAAGUCUAACUUUUUUAUAUGGUAAAAAACUAAUAAAUUCUAUCAUUAUUAAUGGUGAAAAAUCUAUUUUGUCGGAUAAUAAAAAUGAAGGGAUAUACUUUUUAAUAAAAAAAUAACGGAAACAAAUUAUUUAAAUCAAAACUCUAUUUUAUAUUUAUAAAACUAAUGUGAUCAUUAAAAAUUAAAAUGAAAUAGAAAACAGUUUUUUUAGUUUAACAUAGUAUGUCACAAAUUUAAUUUUAAUUUAAAUAUCAAUGGGAAUUAAUCAAAUUUAAGAUAUAAUAUUUGAAAUGUAUGAAAAAUAUAAUUAAAAAUUAAAUGAAAUACUCUAACUCACUUAAUCUGCCUACUUAAUCCAUUAAUAUUGUCAUACAUGUUCAAAUCAAUUUAUAGUUUUAUAAAUUUAGAAAAGAUAAAUUUAUAUACAUAAUACAAAAAAUAAGUAAUAGAAAAUUAUUAGAUAGAAAUCAAUUUUGGAGACUAAAAAUAAUUAUUUAUUAUAUUGACUAAAUUAUAUACUAUUUUAGAGAAAAAAAAUUAUUUGUUUCUAAAUUACUUUCUAUUAUUGAUAAAUAGUUUCUAAAUCGGUAUCAAAUUAGCUACCAAUAUUUUAACUACCACAAGUUUUAAUUACCAAUUAUUUAAAUUCUAAACUUUGUAGCAAAAAAAUUUGUGACUAAUUAGAUAUCAAUUUAAAAACUAUUUAUUAAUAAUAGAAACUAAUUUAGAAAUUAAUAACUUUUUAGUCUCUAAAAUAAUAUCUAAUUUAGACAAUAUAUCAAUUAAUUAUUUUUUAUCUAUAAAAUUAGUUUUUAUUUAAAAGAUUUACUAGUAGUGAUGGAAAUGAGUUGAAAAUUUUAAUAUGUGUAUAUAUAAUUUUAGGUGAUCUUUAACAAUUUAACUUGUGAAUCCAUUUAAAAAAAAAAAAAAACUUGUGAAUCCAUUUCUAAAAGUGAUGAGUUACAUUUUUCAUCCUAUAUUUACAUGCUGUUAACCUAAUCCUGCUUGACACGAAUUUAGAGCAUGUUAACUCUAAUCGAUUUUCUUUGUAUUUGAUAAUUUAUUUAUAUAUUUGACUAAAAUAUAUUCCAAUCAAAAUUUCGAGAAUGAAUAAAAAAUUAUUCUUUUAAUUAAUUUCUUAAUGUGAUUAUUUUAAAUUGAUUCCUUUAAAAUUUUUGAAAAAAAGCUAACAAUAUUAGGACUUAGUUGAAUGUAUUUUAUUUUUUAGACUAUUUUGUCAAACAAUUUUACACUACAUCUUUGAAAAGAAAAGAAAAAUUGCUUGACUAAAAAUAGACUUUUAUUUUUGUUCAACUAACUCGUACCACUACCCCACUUCAUAAAAUAAUUGCAUAUAAUUAUUUUAAAACCAUGUGAUUAUUUACCCAACUCAUCCCCAGACACGAAGAGAAAUAACCGGGAAAAAGUGUAAAAGGGAUUUAUUUGUGGUAACUGCCACUUUCAAAUGUUAUUAGAUUCUGAAAACGAUUUCAGAAAAUCAAAUAAAAUAAAUAAAUAAAAGCUAACACCACCAAAUGCAAUAAACCAAGAGAUUUUUUUUUUUAAGUAUUAUUAAUAUAGUCCCACAUCAAUUAAGAAUUGAAGUAAAAAACAAUUUAUAUAUACUUUUUACUCAUGUCAAAUACCUUUUAAAAACAUGAACAAAAUUUUCAUAGGUCUUAUUAGAAAAAAAAGAGACACACGUAUAUAUUUUGAAUGGUGUAAUGUUUGAUGUAUUAUAUAGGAAUAUUGAAGUAAUGGGCCCUGAAAUGAUAGCAAGUUUAGACAUAGAAUAGGGAGGCUAAAACUGGAGACAUAUAUAAUAUAAUGGCCUACAAAGUUAAGGUUGAUAGAGCACACCGACAUCACUCACCACGAACUUGUUACAAAUUUCGUAGGGAAGCAAAGUACCGAAUCAUUUGGAGGAAGAAGUUUGAGAAGAAAAGCAAUGAUUUAAUGGAACAGUGGAAUUGCAUACUUUUGGGUAUCACAAUGCCAAAAUAAACUGGUUUAAAUGGUUGUGCCCACUGUUCUGUACGAUAAAACACUAUCACACUGUUCCACUUCAAAUCAGAUACUAUCCCAUACAUGCUACAGAGCUACACUUAUAUUUCCUUCGUUACUUGGGAAUUUAAUUUACAGUCAACGGAGGAUGAUUUUGAGUUGAAGUUAUGAAGAGCAUGCAAAAAGGAAUAGUACUAUUCUGGACAACAAGUAGUAGGGGUGCUAAAAUAAUUUUUACACCAUUAACUUAAACCCAUUCCAAAGCAACGUCAGAGGUAAUGAUUCAUAGACCCAUUUCAUGAAUUGAGUUUGUUUUUAUCCACUAAUAUUGUUGAAUAGUAAGUAGGAGGUGAAGCUAAAUUUUGUUUGAAUUAUGUUUUUGGGCAGUUGAGAAUGAGCUUAAAUGGUUACUUUGCAUGCUUUUCCUAAAAUAAUUGCUUUGCUUUGGUUCCACUUUUUGCUUGCAGCUUUAAUUUCACCUAAAGAUGGAACUGUAAUAAAGCGUAAUCUUACGAAAUGACAUUCCCGCGUGCAAAUCAAAUAUAUAAGUGGGUCAUCUACACUUGCUUUAUGCACAGUUAACUUGAUUCCUAGAUUAAGACAUUCACUGUUUAUACUUAUAUCACAUUUCAUAACUCCCAUUCAAAAAGUAAACAACAUCAUUUACACAGCACUUCAUUCACUUAAACCAUAAAUUCUUUUAAGACAUUACUCACUAUCAACUUUCCUUUCAUGCUUUACAUCUGUUAUAAACUACAUGUUAGAAAUUUCAUGUUUCUCAUCUCUUAAUCUUUUAUAUAGAUUUUAUAGCAUCAUGAGUUCGAUAAUACAUAUAAUUAGGUCAUCUACCUAUAUUCAUAUCAGACAAUAAUGUAUUAGCACAAAUCAAAAGAUCUUGAGUAAAUGGUAAUAUCAAAACCCAAAACAAAAGAAAUAUGAUGAAUGUAUAUAUAUAACAGAGAAUACACUAAAGAAAAAACACAUCACUUACUAAUCGAGAUUGAGAGUCCAUUCACUCUUAACAACACUAAAUAUUUUAGGUUUGAGAUCGCCGAUACUCUUAUCUGAAACAGUUUUAUUUAUAAUUUUUAAAUAGCCUUCGAGAAGUAUGAUUUAACUUAAUUAUUGACUUUAACGAAGGUGUCUCCAUUGUGGUGAAUCCUAUACACUUUUCUUCUUUCAUUUCUGCCUUUAGUAUGAUAAGAAAAUGAGUUUGGGGUUGAAUUAAAAAUGGAAGAAAGCAUGGAUUACGGGCCUGUGAAUUAAUCUAAGGCCAUAGUAGAUUGUGGUCCACCUGAGGUAUAGGCCAGGACCCAAUUUCUUGAGAUAAUAAAUUUGUAUUAAGCUUGAAAGACACAUCACCACCAAGCCCUAAACACCGGCCUAUAGAUACAUGUGUUUUUUCCACUGAGAGAGAGAAGCACUUCAAUUUUCAAACACCACCAACAUUUAUUUAGGUAAGAAAAUUGAUUAGAGGAUUAAACCGGGCGUGUAGGAGGGGAAACAAAGGAAAAAGAAACAAGUAAUGAUUAGUGAGUGCCCCACUAGGGAAAUUUUGAAGGAUUCACUCUUAAUUAAACGUCUUUUUCACAUUGAGAACUAAUUAUAUUUAUACAUAGUUGUAGAAAAUUAAGAAAAAUAUUGUUUUACUUUCAACUUUGCCUCUCUGUUCUCCAUUAUUUACAUGUGAGAAGAAGAUAGCUGUAUACCAUUGGAAUUUGGACGAGGAAAGACUUGAAUGAAUGUAUAAAUUCUUGUACUAAUUGGAAUCGAACAAAUUAUGGUUAGUAUUUGAUGAGUCAUGUUAAUUGAUUUUAGUAAUCGAUCGACUGAAUGAAUCUUCAUUCAAAGUAGUUACGAUAAACAGUUUAAGACAGUUGUAAGAAUUUUUUAAGAAUUUAGAAUACAUUCUACCAAAUUCAGAUAACACUCCUGUAAAUCAAGAACUUUUCUAAAAAAUGAGCUAAUGCUAAAAUAUGAUAAAUUUGACUCAUUACAACAAACUACAAAUGUGUAAGGUACGAUUUUAAUACCUUCUUAAUUUAUAUUUCGUAUACUAAGUACUUACUUGAUUGUUUGAAUAUUUUUUUCAGAUCAAUAUACAAGACUUAGAAUAAAAAAUAAGAAAACAACCUAACAACCAACUCGUUAACAAUUCAACAACCAAUUUCAGAUAUUAUUUAAAUUUAUUUUAUCUAUACAAUUCUUAAUAGCUAUAUCUAACUUUUUUUUUUUUUUGGAUCUCUUGACCUUGAUCAACAAGUUUUACAACCUUUGGAAUCAUCGAGACCUAGAUUGAAAACAAAAACAAUGAAUAGGACGAUGAAGAUUAUGUCAUCUCCUUCGAAAUACCAAAAACAUUUUCUGAGACUAUAGCGUUCGAGUGAGUGUAGUUUAUUUGGAAUAAUUUUUCUUAAAAUUGGGUUAGACAAGUCAAUUUGAAAUUGAACUAUAACUUUUCUAGCUCAAUUUAUCCCUUACCAGAUUAAGGGUCAAAAAAACCCUGCAUAUGGAUCAAUAAUAUUUUUACAGCCUACACAGAAUGGAUCCAUCAUUUCUUACACUAUAAAAAAUAAAUAUUAUUAAUAUAAAUUACCUUUUAUAUGAUAAGAUAAUAAAAUAAUUUCACUUAAUUAAGUUUUAAGUUAUUAUAAAUUUAGACAUCUUUAAUUAAUUUUUAAUUACAAAUUUUCGUUCUAUUGAAUAUUAAAAGUAUUUUUUUGUUUUUAUUUAAAUAUUUUUUCAUUUAAUUAUGUUGCCAACUAGAUAAUAUAACGGUUACUUCCGUCUUCUCGUUUCUAAAAAUAAAUAAGUGAUUGCGUGACGACAAAAAUUAAGAAAUAAGAUACUUAGACAAAAAAUGAAAAAAAUAUUUUAAACACUUAAUUAAUAUAUAUAUAUAUAUAUUAAAUUAAAAUACUUAAAUUUAUAAGAUACUGAAAAUUUAAUUAAAUAUAUAUUUUUAAUGUUGUGCAGAGGUGUCUAUUCUUUUAUUUUUUUUUCAAUAAUAAUAUAAAUAAUCGCCAAAAUAUUUAUCAGACAUUAAAUAAUGAUUAAUGUAUUAAUGGUGGUACUUGUAUAUAGUAAAAGAUCUAUUUUAUUAGUGAGAACUUAAAUCAUCUUUAAAAUUAUUUUUUCAAUUCUGCUUUAAUCUUUCAAUAACUUUUACCUAUUAUCGCUAAAAAAAUUUAAAAAAUGAAAAGAUUUAACAAAAGAUUAAAUAUUAUCUUAUGAAAUAAAUUUUAUAAAAUUUAGUUAAAUUUAAUUUUUUUAAUAUGAUAUAAAGUUAUUAUAUAGUAGUGUUUGCUGGAAGUUGAAACUUGUGUCAUCCAUUACUAAAUUCUCCUAAUUUAAUGUGAGAUGUCCAAUACUAAAUGUAAAAGUGUAUUGAUCUAUUAUAUUUAUUUUAUAGAAUAACUCCAAUAAAUUGAUUGAACCUCAAAAUAUUAUGUACAACUAUUUAUUUAUUUCUCAUAAUAUUUAAUAUUAAUGAAUAACUCAAUACCCAUUGUGACACCAUCCUAUGAAUCGUGUGAAUGAAACCCAGCAGAGUUUCAAGAUUAUUGCCAUCUGCAACAAAGAAGAAACAAAUCAAAUCUCAAAAUUCAAUGAAAUUGUACGCUUAACCAAUACUAAUUAAAUGGUAACAAUGAACAAAAUUACUAAUUAAAGUAUGAGAUACCACUAAUCAAGUUUUGAAUUCGUAUGAACUUCACGGUGGUAAAUCACUACAUGAUCCUGAAAUGCUUCCAACAAUGAAACUUUGAUGAAGAUCGAGUGAUGAUUUAUUUAUAUGAGAUUUUCUAAAUCUCAAAUAAGAGUUUAAAGAGAUAUGAGAGGGAUUAAAUGAGUACAAAUGUAUUGAGUUGAAUUGAGUAAUUUCUGAAAUUAUAUUUAUAAGUUUUUGGUGUUGUUAAAAUAUAAAAUAUUUAAUUAAUUUAUAUAUGUUGUCGAAUAUCAAGUCAAUUUCAACAUAGAAGUUAGUUUUUAAAGGUGUCCUAUUUAUUCAGACAUGGAGGUACUUAAUGUCUAUUAUUGCAAGUGAAUAUUAUAUUCUUAGUAUUUUUUUAUACUGGAUAUCUCUAAUAUGGAUAUUAUAUUCUUAUUAUUUUUUAAUUUUGGAUAGUACACAUAUUUUACUUUAAUAAAAAAUAUCAUAACAUCUAAGUUAAAAUAACUCCACAAAAUUUAACAAAAUCAUAUAUCGAUAAAUGAAAAAAUGUAUAAAAAAAAUAAAAAAAUAUGAGAGAAACCAAACUCAUAUAAAAGAAACAAACAAUAAUCCAAAAUAAAAGACUAUACAAAUUUAAAGUCUAAGCUCGUGUUUGGAUUGGGGGGUGGCACUGUAGUCACAGACGAAAGUGGGGUGUCACCCCGUUUGGAUCUGUUGAUGGUGGAGGGUGUGGGUGAGGGUGAGGGGAAAGUUGGGCCGAAUGAGAGAGCAUUCAGAAGUGAAGAGAAAGGAGAGGGAGAGGGAGUGAGUGUCAAGUAGGAUGAGUGCAAUGUCAUUUGUGCCUUCACUAGAUUUUUUGACGUAUUUGGACAUUGGACAUGAAGCAUGCAUGCGCAUAACACUGUGAAGAGAAGCUUUUCAGCAAGCACAGGAGAUUCCUGACCAUUGUUCAGGAUUCUCUUUGACCAACUUCAAAGCUCAAUGAAUGCAUAGCCAAGUUGGUGAGAGAGUGGAUGAGCGUAAUAAAGAGGUGCAGCAGUAUAUAUGUGGUUCCCAACCUCACAAACCUCACACAGUUGAGGCAAUUCAGUUCUUCACAAAGCACAUACCUAGAGAGCUUGGAGAUGGUCAUGAGUAAGCAUAGUGAUAGGAGAUUGCACUUGGUUCUUUGUUUGUGACCUCAGGUGAGCUGUGUGUGAGUUUAUUUUCAUUAUUAACUGAUUAUCACUGAAAAUGAACGUAUGCCAUAAUCGAUUAUGUGAAAAAAAAAGAGUUGAUAAUUGAUGAAUAUAUAUUUAUUCACACACAAUAGCCUUAAUCAUAGAUUAUUGGACUAUAAUAAUAAAUAAAUUCAUUGUUUUAAUUAAUAUUCAUAUAAUUGGUAAUUAAUAUUAUCUUUGGUAAUUUUGUGUUUUUAGGGUAAAUUAUCUGAAGCAUCUACCUUUGUGAAUGAGCCAAACAUGCAAAAGUCCAAGUUGCUUAUUUGAAUAAAAACAAAAAAACAAAUUCUGAGGAGAAGAAAGAGAAAAUAAAAGCUACAAGAUUCCAGAAACAGAAUUGGAAGCAAAUCUUCUGUAAAAUAAAAAGAAUUAUGGAAAGUGGAAACUGUUUAGAAAAUCUUAAGUGCAAUAUUUUCCCAAGAUCCUUGGAGCAGAAAAGUCUAUAAAAGGACACAAGCAUGAAGGAGAAAGGGAGAGAGCUUCAUAGGGUUUUCUUAGUUUCUUUUCUUCUUUGUAAUUCUUUUGUUUUGCCUCCGCAUGGAAGGUUAAACCUUUUUGGUUGAUUCUUUUGUAAUUCCCCAUUAAGUUCUGAGGUUUUUAUUCAAUAAAAGUUUCAUUUUUCAAUUUUUUAUAACAAUUGUUUUUAUUGUCUAAUCUUCUGGAAAACUAGUUUUUGUGAGAGGUUGUACUUGAACGCAUGAUUGAGAGUCUUCCUUAUCUUAAACUUUGGUUUCUUAGUUAGUUCUCAUUGUUCUAAUUAAUUUCUUGGCGCAUGAUUCAAGAGAGAGGAUAUAAGCAUUCCUAUGGAGUAUACGCAUGGAACAAAAUGUCUAUUGAUUAAACCAGUAGACGCAUGCUUUACUGGUGAGUUUCAGUUGAAUCAGAUCGGCGCAUGUUCAAUCUGGUUUAGCUCUGUUGGAGGAUUGAAAAAAUAUUAAUCUUUAGAGAACCUGUGAAGAAUUCAAUGGUGGAAGAACUUGGGAUCAACCACUUUUUUAUUUUCUAUUUCAAUCUUUUUUAUAUUUUUCUUGUAGAUAGAUUUUGAAUUCGGUUAACUGAAUCACUAUUGGAUUCGUUGGGAGACAACUUAGGGUCAUCUCUCUGGUGUUAGACAACUCUACGCUAGAUUCAUAUUAAUUUGACAGCAAAACGACAACUAUAAAUAAUCGAGCAUAAACAUUUGGAUAAUCGAUUAUGAUUUUAAUUUCCCAGAUUUUUUAUUUUCUGUUUUUUGAAGUAAUUUUUGCAUGAUUUUUUUGGAUUGUGUUUUUUUUUUAAAUUGUGUUUGGAUGUUUAGUUUUAUUUUGAAUUUAAUUUGUUUAAAUUAUUUUAAAGUACUUGUUAAUUAGUUUUUGUUAAUUAGUUUUUAAUUUUAGAUGUGAAUGUUUAGGAAAAUUGAUUAUCUAAGAUUUAUAUUGUUAAUGUAAAAAUUUCAUGAAAUUUAAAUAUAGAAUUUUUGUAACAUGAAUUGAAUUGAAUUUAUAGAUUGAAAUUAGAGAUCUAAAUCUGUUAUUUUAAAAUAUUGUUAUUAAAAAAAUUAUAAAAAUUGUUACAGUAAUUUAAAACAGAAAAAUCAAAUAUACAGAAGAUUUUUUUAACAUUGUUAAAUAAAUUUAUGAAUGUAUACAUAGUAAUUUUUUUUUUAACUUUGAAGCUGUUAAUAAAAUAAUUUUUUUGAUUUAAACUUACAGAAUAGACUAUUUUUUAGAAAUUAUUAUUUUUACAGAAUGUAAAUAUAAUUUUUAAAACAAAUAUUGUAUUAAUUAAAAAAACAGAAAAAGAUUACAUAAUAAAUUAGAAUUUUUAAUAAUAUGUGUACAUAGUUACUAUUUUUUGAACAUUUAAUUCUUUAUAAAAAAAUAUAUUUAUUUAUUUGAAAUGAUUAUUUUUACUUAAUGGAAAUAAAAAUUUUGAAUGCUAUAUUUUAUAAUUUUGGACAUUUUACAUACACAUAUCAUAAAAUACAUAUAAUUUAUUUGUCAUAGUUUACAUAAAUUGUUAAUGUUAUUAUAAAAAAAUUAAAAUAAAUAUUGUAGUAAUUAAAAAGAACAGAAAAAGAUUACAUAAUAAAUUCAAUUUUUUAAUAAUAUAUGCAGAUAUUUAAUAUUUUUUAACAUUUAAUACUUUAUAAAAAAACAUUUAUUUAUUUGAAAUUAUUAUUUUUACAGAAUGUAAAUAUAAAUUUUUAAUGUUAUUUUUUAAAACAAAUAUUGUAUUAAUUAAAAAACAGAAAAAGAUUACAUAAUAAAUUAGAAUUUUUAAUAAUAUGUGUACAUAGUUAUUAUUUUUUGAACAUUUAAUUCUUUAUAAAGAAAUAUAUUUAUUUAUUUGAAAUGAUUAUUUUUACAUAAUGUAAAUAGAAAUUUUGAAUGCUAUAUUUUAUAUUUUUUUUGAUAUUUUACAUACAUUGUCAUAGUUUACAUAAAUGGUUAAUGUUAUUAUGAAAAAAUUAAAACAAAUAUUGUAGUAAUUAAAAAGAACAGAAAAAGAUUACAGAUUUUUUAAUAAAUUCGAUUUUUUAAUAAUAUGCGUAGAUAGUUAAUAUUUUUUUAACAUUUAAUGCUUCAUAAAAAAACAUUUAUUUUAUAAUUCAUUUUAAUUUUAUAUUAAUUUUUAAGUUAUAAUUGAAACUUACAAUUAUUUUAAUUAUCAAAAUUAUGUACAAAAUUAAUAAUUUUUUUUAUACAUAUGGAUAAAAGUAUACUUUAUUAUAUAUAACAUAAAGUAAUUGAAAUUAAAUAAUAUAAUAUUAAUUAUUUUAAUUAAUUUAAAUAUUCUUUAAACUAAUUAAUAUUUCAUUUUUCCCAUUUAUAUAUAUAGAAGAAUAAAUUUAUAAUCUUACCAUUUACACUAUUCAAAAUAUAUUAAAAUACUUUCACAACUAUCACAUCAUUCACACUUUUCAAUAAACUUUCUUUACACAUCCACUCUAACAUCCCUCAAUCCAAACAUCCUCAACUUUCAACUUUCUCCACACUUUUUUCAUAUUUUCACUCCCACACCCUCAACUUUCCACUCACGAGUUGAUAAGUGUUACAACAAAAUAUAAACUAAUGUAAAACACUAAACCAAAUAAAUAUAUUUUCAAUCCUAAUAUUCACAAUGUUAUGACCUUCACUUUUAUAUAUAUAUAUACUACAAGAAAAUCAUCAAAUAGAAACUAAUUUUUAGAGAUCAAAAUAAUUAGUUGAAAUAGUAACUAAAUUGGAGACCAUUUUAAAAACUAAAAAAAAUUGAUUUCUAAAUUAGUAACUAAUUAUUUUUUGUCUCUAAAAUUGGUUUUUAUUUCAUAAUUUUUUUAUAGUAAUAUAUAUAUAUAUAUAUAUAUAUAUAUAUAUAAUCACAAAUUUAUUUGAGUCAUCUAUCUUAAAGAACUUAAUAAAAAGUUUGAGGACUCAAAAAAUUUAACAAAUAAAAAGUAGAAUCACACUUCUACCCAAUACAAGAAAAUUAUUAAUUAAAAACUAGUUUAAGAUAAAAAAAUAAUUAGUGAUUAUAUUACUAAAAUAAAUAUUAUUUUAUAGACUAAAAAAUUAUUGAUAUCUAAAGUAGUUUUUAUUAUUAUAAAAAAUUAUAAAUUAAUUUUUAAAUUGGUAUCUAAUUAUUUAAUUAAUUUAAUUAGCUAACAUUUUUAGAACCUAAAAUAGUUGAUAACUAAUUAGAUACCAAUUUUAGAAUUUAAAGUAAUUGAUAGCUAAUUAGAUACUAAUUUAAAAUCUAGUUUAUAAAUUUUUAUUAAUAAUAAAAACUACUUUAAAUAUUAAUAAUAUUUUAAUCUAUAAAAUAAUAUUUAAUUUAAUCAAUAUAUAAUUAAUUAUUUUUAAUUAUAAAAUUAUUUUAUUUAAUAAUUAUACUGUAUUGACCAUAUACAUGUAAAUCUAAAGUGAAUAAAUAGAAUAGUAACUACAAACUCUGCAUAUGAAGAUUUAUUAAUAUUAAAAUAAAAAGUGGAACUUUUAAUAUAUUCUUCAUUGUUUCCUCUAAAAGUCACUAUAAUAUAAUCAAGACAAUCUCUAACAUUACCAUCACUAUUGACAAAUAAAUUAACUUAUUAGUAAUUAGUUCGUCAAUUUAAUAACUAUAUAUAGAAGAGAGAAAAGUAAAAUUUCAUUUAAGAGUGGAGUUGAUUGUAGAAAUUAAAUUACGUAUAAAGUUAAGGGAGGGAUAUCUAUUAUUUUUUAAUAUGAAUUGUAAUUUUAACUUGAGAUCUUCCUGUCUAGUUAAGUAAUUAAUAAGUAGAAAGCUUUAUUAAAAAAUAUAUUGAAGUUGUAUUAGAAAUUUUAGAAAAGUGGAUCCAAGUAAAUAACUUUCACUUUUAAAUUUUUUUACUAGGUAUUUUUCUGUAAUUUAUAUAUUUAAUCUCUUGCAAACGUAACAACUAUGAUUGAAUUGAAGUUUGAAAAACAUUUUUCUGAAUUUUAUGAUUAUAUGGUAAUGUCACAUUCGAGGAUUACAUAAAAUAACGUAACGUGCAACAUGAAACACGAUUGUUCUAACACAACUUUCAUCCAUUCAAUUUAUUUCUUAUAUAAAUAAUUUUAAAAUUAAAAUUAAUAAAAUUUCAUGGUUACCUAACAUUUGUCUAGUUUGUCUGAAAAAAAAUGUCCAACAAUAAAUUAAACUGGGCAAAAUAUAAUCUGUCCAUUGAAAUUCUUAAAAUAUUAAAUACAGAUUUUUGUAUUAUUUUGUCACUCUAAACUUUUGAACUUUAAAGAUAUAUAUUUUAGGUGUUUCAAAAAUUUAUACAUAUUGAUCUUUAAUGGUAAUAACACUAGAUGGAAAAAAAUUGUACAGAUGAUGGUCUUAAUAGUGUUGAUUAUUAUAUUUAAUAAAAAAAGUGUGAUAAAGUUGUCAUGUAUAUAAGUUUAUUUUUGUCGUUAGUACUAAUGAAAUCUAAAAGGUAUGUUUAAAUUUCAAAGGAAUCAAAAUAAUAUAAUUUUUUAUAAAAGUAUUUAGUGUAAUUAAAUUUUAAUAUCUCGAUUAGAGAUUAAGAUAUUUCAUUUUAUAGUAUAUAAGCGGGUGUAACUUCAUAAGCUGAUUUGGUUUAAACUUAAAGUUCACUUUUUAAUAUGAUAUAAGAUCCAUUUAAAGUCGAACUUAACUAGAGAUUUUGUUAGUCUUACCAAACCAUCUACUAUCGGAUCGUUAUUGGAUCAUAUAUAAAUAUAUAGUCUCAUACACAAACAGUCACUCUCCGCGUGAGAAAAUGUGUUAGAAAAUUCACAUAGAUUAAGUGCAAACAUUACCUUAUAAGUCGAUUUAAGUGCAAAAAUUACCUUGUAAGUCGAUUUUAUGAGUUAGAUUUGAAAUUAUUUUUCAAUAUUCAUAUAAAUUAUUUUUUUAAGAAUUAAUAUUAAACAAGCAGUAAAAAAAUAAUUAUUAUAAAAAUAUUAAAAAUAACCAUUUAUCUAAAAAUAUAUAAACUAAAAACACUCUUUUCGCAAGAAUAAAUAUGACAGACAAUGCCAUUAUUAGAAUUUAGAACACACAUGAAGGGGUUGGAGAAUAAUUUAUUAACGUCUGGAGCAGCAGCACCUAGAAGCAUUAAAUAUUCAUAAUUAUUUGUAGUAACAACUAUUUUUAAUUUUAUUGUUCUUUGAUUAUUAUUCCACUACAACAGAAUUGAUAACCGAUAACAGUUUUAAAACUUACUUAGCAACUGUUAAAACUAUGGUCAUAAAACUACAUAGUGAAUUUGUAGGCUAUGAUGAGUUUAUAUGUCUAUUUGUUGGUUGCGGCUCAACCCAACAUGUAAAUUCGUUUUUGAGCUAAACUCGAUUUGGUGAACUUGAUAUUAAGCACGUAAAAUAAAAUAAAAUAAAAAGCACCAUACUAUUAAAAUCACAAAUGAUAAUAGAAUGUUAAAAAAAAAUGUUAACUCUUAGUAAUUAACAAAUAGGUUGAGAAUCAUGUUGCCCCAACAGGAAGAAAAUGUUCUGUAGGAAGUGUAAGAGAAAAAAAAAAAUAAUGUAACAUGAAUACUUUUUUUGUGUUGUUAAAUUUAAAUGAAAAUCACAGGAACUUAUAUGUAAUCGAGAACUAUGUUUAAUCAAUUAUCUUUUUUAAACCUAUUAUUUGAUUACUUAUUUUUAAAAUUUAUCUCAAUUUAUUACAAGAAAAAUAUUAUAAUAAGUUAUUUAUAAAUAUUUUCAUCCAUAUAAUUUUGCACUUUAUAUGCAUAUAAAUGAUUUCAAGUUAACUAUUAAUAAUAAAUUAGUUGUAUUAUAAAUAAAAAACAUUAUAGUAUAUUUAUUUUCAAUUUAAUUUUUAUAAAUAAUUUAAUUCUUAUGUUUUUAAAAUAAAAUAGCUUUUUUUUUCAAAAAAAAAGGUUCUUAUACUGAUAAUCAUUUAAAUUAAAAUCUGUUUCUUGUUUGAUUCUUUUGAAAAUAUCAGUCAUGCCAAUGUGAUAAUAUCCAAAUUUUAUAUAAUUUUUCAGUUAUAUGUUUUUUUCUAGUUAUAAUUGUUUUGUAAGUUUUUUUUAUUUAUUUCAGAAACUAAUAAAAUUUAUUUUAAAUAAUAAAGAUUCUCACAUGAUAAAUAAAAACUUCAAAUAAAAUCUAAGGUCAUUGUUUAACAAAAUUUACAACCAGAGCAAAUCACAUUUCUUAUAUAAGGAAUGAAGUUAGUGUAAACAUUUCCAAAAAUGCUUAUGACCAGUUAAACAAAUUUUAAUUAUUUUUAAGAAAAUGAUUCCGAUAUUCAUGUUUUCCAAGAGUCUACAUAUGAGGUAGUGACAGAAUUGUCAUUCUACUACAUAUAAGCUCAUAAUGGACCUACUCUUUACAAAGCAGAAUUGAACAACUGCACAACAAAAAUAAAUCUUUUCCACUGCAUAGCAACUGCAAAACAUAUCAAUUGCAGAAUAAAUCAUAAUCAACUGCAUAACAAAAUAAAUCUUUCCAUAAUAUUGAAAUUUACUGUAUUUUUCACCUACUACUUCAAAUCUAAAAUCAUCAUCUACUGAAAUAUUUCAAAACAAGCUCCUGGAUUGUAAAACAACACCCACUAGUAAUCCACUGCCAAGAGUAGAGCUUAAAAUAUUUCAACCAUUUUCCACUUCCCUCCGAAUGUUGAAAACAUUUGAGAAUUUUGGGCCAACCCUAUUGACCACCAAACAAUAGAAAACUAUAUAACAUGCCACCUGAUUCUAUUAUCUGAAUCACAAUUAAGAAAUCCCAAACUUCUAUUGCUCCAUCAACUCAAGCACUAAACUCACCUGGAGAAGAAUUCACAUUCAAAAUACAAGUGAACUAGAGUUUUGACUUCCUUAUAAGGUACCUCUAGACAUGACUUCAAUGGUUGGAGUAAUACCUCUAUAUGCUUGUUCUUAAGGGAGAAAUCAAUCUUGAGCUAGCUUCCAAAUACAAGAUUGAACCUUGAGUAAGUGUCAUAGAACCUUAUCCAGCCUAAAUUUCGAUAAUAGAACCUUAUAUGCGAUUUAACCAAGUAAGUGUGUCUAUGUAAUAAAUAAAUCAUUUUCAUGAAAGUUGAAACUUUAUAAAAUGAACUCAAAUUUAAACCAUUCAUUGACGCUGGCUUCAUAUAUUGGAGCUUAUUGCGGAAAAUCCUUAUUACUAUAUGACUUUAGAGGAGUUUUACAGUGUAAUUACAAGAUAGAAUACUGACAUAAAGUCUCCAUAAGAUUCAAGUUUUGAUAUGACCAUCCUAAAUCAUCCUCUGAAUGUUGUCAGUAAAAUUAACCAUAGUUUCAAGACUGUUAUCAUCUGCAACAAUGAAGCACCAAAUUAAAAUCACAGAUUUUCAGAGUUGAGACACAUUAUAUGCACAAAACUAAUAUUCAAAUGCGUCCUGGCACCAGUCAUAGUUAGUUACAAUGAAAGAUCUACAAUUUAAAGUAGGAGACACCACUAACCAAGUUUGGGGACUGUAUGCCCUCUGGGGUGAUGAAUCACAACAGGAUUCUGGAAUGCUCCCAACAAAGCAACGCUCUCUUCCUUCAUGAAAUCUUUCUCCCCUUCACCACAUAAUAAGAAUAGAAGAUACAAUACAACUUUCAAAGUUAAAUGUAAAGGAAAAUUUGCUUAAGCAGAAUCACAUAUGAGGGACUUGAAAUUACCAAUAAUGUGAAGAGAUAAGCAAUCAAUUGGUUUUGAAAAUGCAUUAGAAGCCAAUUUAGGCAUUCCAAACUUGUUUCCACCAAACUUGGCACCAGAUAUCACAAUCAAAAACUUGAUCUUGUCUACCUUCCCAAGUGCUACACCCUAUAAAAGUCAUCAUUCCCUUUAGUGAAAUCAAAUGCAGUUUUAACUAAUUUAGCCUACUUAGAGCAUCUCUAAUGCCGCUGUUUACAAAAGUUGCUUAAAAUGAAUAGCAUUGCUCAACAAAAAUUGACAUAUAAGAAACAUAAACUAUUUUUAUUUUAAAAAAAUGUACAUUUUCAAGUUAACAAUCAUCGUCAAGACAAAGAAACAAAGCUAUACACCCAUUUAAAAACUUUAGCAUUAGAGUUAAAACUCAAGUAUUCAUUCUUUGACAAUUUAAGAAAUAAAACCGUAUAAGCAAACCAUGCUUCAUGCUUCGUAGAUACUCAUUGAAAACUCAAAUAUUCAUUCAUUCUUUCACCAAAAGGGCAUCAUCAAGGAAGGAAAGAUGAACUUAAUAUAUAAAAGAGAAAGUGUAAACAGUAAUAAGAUGAGUUUCUUGUUCAGUACCUGCGCUUGCAUUCCUGGCAAUGCAGCCGCUAAAAUUGCUCCCUGAGAGACAACAUUCCUUAUGUGUCAAAAUUGUAUAAACAAAAGAUUACAAAAAGUUCACAAAUAACAUUGUAGCAGCAAAGUCCGCACCUGAGAGAAACCCAAUACACCAUCGAAAGGACCAUUUUUGAGCAUGUAAUCUUCUAUGUAUGCUAAACAGGCUUCGAAGUUUCUAUACUCAGAGAAGUCCUGUACAUGAAAAGAUAAACGUUAGCAGCAUACUAGGAUAAUGUCGGUGGUGGGGAUUACUAAGAUGGACAGUCUUGUCUCUACAACAACCUCAUUGGCUUGGAACCAUUCAUAGUAAGGAGGAUCGAAAAUGCCUUCAACGUCAGAUCUUCCCUGCGCGGGAAAUUGGCCAUCGAGGAACACGAGGUCCAAUUUUUGUAUCACUGGUUCUGGCCAUCUUAAGACUAGCUGCUUGAGGAUUUCGCCACUGGUUCUGAAUCCGUGGAGACACAGGAUUCUGGGUUUUCUCUGGGUUUGGUCUUCUUCCAUAAUGCUCAAACUUUGACAGCAGAUUAUUGCUCAGGGUGCUUUCAUGAAAUCAAAAUGAAAAUUAGUACCAAUUUCUUUAGAUUUGGGCAAAAUGUAAGGGCCGGCGCCGCCGAACCCAUCAUUUAAUAAAAUUGUAAAACAUUGUAAUUUUUAGAUUUCAUCUUAUAAAAUCAACUCAAUCUAAAUAAAUAAAUAUAUUUCAAAUUUAAAUUAUAUUAUUAUAAUUAAUUUUAAUUUGAAAUAUAAUAAUUUAAUAUAGAAAUUAUAAUGCAUAUAUAUGUUUAAAUAAAAUAACAUUAUUUUUAUAUUUUAAAUAAUUAUUAUUAUUUUAUAAAAAGAUUAUGUAUAAGGCUAUUUAUAGGCCGAACCUGUUUAAAUAUAUUACAAAAAUAAUUCAGUUUAAUUUAUAUUAUAAUUUUUUGUAAUUGAACCGUUUGAUUAUGUAGUUUUUUCAUGUGUUAGCUACAAGACACUAGUCUAUUUCAGCACAAAUAAAAAUAAUUUAUAUAUCACUCAAAGGAUAGUUCUCGUAAUUUAUUCUCAUGAAAGGUGUUUCCGUCUGUUGACUCGAACAAUAGUCUUUGUCCCUCCUAACUCCGUCUGAGAAUUGAACUUUCUUGAUCGAAGAAUCUCUCACCUGCAAAGACAAAGGGCGUCUUGACGGUCGUUUGCACUCCAACGCUCAAGUCAGUAUAAGGGCAAAGAAAGACCAAGUGUAUAAAGUAGUUUCAGUCUUAGAAAUUGUGUACCUUGCUAGGAUUCUUAGCACCCUUUAUAUAGGUUGAAACUAGGGUUUACCUUCGCUCAUUUACCCAUAUCUAGGGUUCCUUCGAGAAUGUCCCUACGCCGCUAUUACAUAAUCUUAGCGUAAUCUGAUACAUUGAACUUCCCUUAACUGGAGUGCAACGACUAACAGAAUGGUCAUCUGGGUACCAACUUGUGCACCUAAUCUCUGGGGCCAUCUAUUACGCGGGUGUCUUAAGUAUUCACGUGUCAUGCAUGCAGCUCCCUUCGGAAACCCUAACCCUAAUGGGCCUUAGCGCCUCCAAGGACUGUUUACUCGUGUCGCGCCUGAAUGCACUAUACACACCACCUGCAUGGAUCCCUCGUGACUUAGGUUUUCCUUAUAUCUGUCGUUUUAACUGAUAACUUAGUAUAAUUCUAGGGUCCACCUUACGUGGUCAUAUAUAACUGUUCUGACCGUCAACAUCCGAUCUCUUCCUAUUCUGGCAAGGUCUGAUAUCGAUCUCCAACUUCGAGGUCUAUGGUACUAGUGUCCGAACGCUGACCCACACCCUGAUAUGCGUAUCUGGGACCCACCUUGUGUGGCCCAUCUUUGCUAUCAGGCACCGAUGCGCGACGUCUGAGAUCAGUCUCUGAAGUCGAUGACCGAUGACUGGUCGAUACAAAAAGAAAAAUAAAUUAUUAACAUGUAGCAUGAUUAAUCCGGUUAUAAAAAAAAAUCCCAUAAAUUGUUACAUGCUAAUAUUUUUUUUAAAAAUUAUGAAAUUGUCAUGAAUGUUAUAUCCUCAUUUAUUUUUUAAAAAAAAUUCCUUACAUAGAAGUAGGCCAUUCAAUUCUAUAUAUAUAUUUGAAAUUUGUAGUAUAUGUUGGUUAUUAAUUCAGAUUUUAUUAUUAUUAAUUCUGAUUUUAUUACCCUUAAACUAUUUUACCGUUAUAUUGCAUUAAUGGUCAGUUUACAGGCCUGUUAGUAUUCUUAUUUUAUAGCUUCCAGUAAUUGUAAUUUUAUUAUAUAUAUAUAUAUAUAUAUAUAUAUAUUAUAUAUAGUNNNNNNNNNNNNNNNNNNNNNNNNNNNNNNNNNNNNNNNNNNNNNNNNNNNNNNNNNNNNNNNNNNNNNNNNNNNNNNNNNNNNNNNNNNNNNNNNNNNNUUACGUUCAAUAGUUGCUACAACCUUUUGCCUUCUCUUAUUUCCUUCAAUUAAUUCCUACAACUGGUAUCAGAGUCAGUCUGUUAUCAUAAACUCUACCCAAUUAUCAGUCCCUAUCCUUGAUGGAAAAAAUUACAAUCGGUGGUGUGUGCAGAUGAAAGUUUUGUUUGAUUAUCAUGAGUUAUGGGAUGUCGUUGAGAGUGGAGUGUUUGCAUUAGCUGCUAAUGCAACUGAGGCACAACGAGUAGCGCAUCGUGAUCAGAAGAAGAAGAAGGACAAUAAGACUUUGUAUCUCAUCCAUCAAGGGAUGAAUGACGAGACGUUUGAGCAGAUAGAAUGAGCAACAACUGCCAAUGAGGCUUGGACAAUUUUGUCAACCAAUUAUAAAGGUGAUGAUAAGAUCAAAAGGCUGCGUCUUCAAACCCUAAGACGCCAAUAUGAAUUGUUGCAGAUGGAAAUCACAGAGACUAUUUAUGUCUAUAUAAAUAAAGUUCUUGCCUUCACAAAUCAGAUGAAGACCAAUGGUGAAACACAUUCGGAGCAGGCAAAGGUGGAAAAGAUUUUGAGAUCUUUAACUCCCAGAUUUGAACAUGUUGUUGCCGCAAUUGAAGAGGCCAAUGACAUUUCAAAAAUGACAGUAAGGUUAUUGUUUGGUUCUCUACGAGCGCAUGAGCAGCGGAUGAAUGACAAUAAGAUUGAAAAACCAAUUGAACAGGCUUUAGAAGCACAAGCCUCAAUUGGUAGCUCCUAUAAUAAACAUGGUAGCUAUUUCAGCAAAGGUCGUGGUGGCUAGAAUCAUGGAGGCGCUUGGCGCGGGGAACGUGGUCGCGGAGGACGAGGAGACAUUUAUAAUAAAUCAAAUGUUGAGUGUUAUAAUUUCCAUAAACGUGACCAUUAUGCAAAUGAGUGCAGAUCAAAAGGUGAUAAUCAUGCUUCCAAUUGUGCUCAAGAAGAUAGUAAUCACGAACAAGAUGAAGAGGACCAUGAAGUAUUAAUGACAACCACAUCAAAUGAAACUCCAAACAACCAGACUUGGUAUUUGGAUACAGGUUGCACGAAUCAUAUGUGUGGUCAGAAGGAGCUGUUUGCAGAUUUGAAUGACUCAUUUCGCACAAAAGUGAAAUUCGGUGAUGGCAAGUUCAUUCCAGUGAUUGGAAAAGGGCAAAUUCUUAUUACAUUGAAGAAUGGUGAUCACAGGUACAACUAUGAUGUUUUCUAUGUACCUGACAUGAAAAGUAAUCUAUUGAGUGUGGGACAACUGGCCGAAAAGGGUUACGUGAUGCACAUAGUUGAAAAUAAAUCUCAAUUUUUUAUAAAAAAAAGGUAAUUUGAUUCUUAAAAUCUUUUUAUCAAAAAACUGCAUGUUUCCAGUAGAUAUUCAUAUGGGUGAUUUCAAGUGCCUGAAUGCAAUAGUGAAUAAUGAAUCGUGGUUAUGGCAUUUACGCUUUGGGCACUUAAAUUUUCAGAGUUUGAAAAAUCUUUCCAAAAGAAAUUUAGGCUUUGUUUGGAUUAGGGAGUGGAAAUGAGGGAGUGGAUUUGAGAUGAUUUGAAGAGAAACUGUAAAGAAAGUUAGGGUGUUUGGAUUAAGGUAAAGAGAGGGGAAAGUGUAGGGAAAGUUUAUAAAAGUUUGUGAGUGAUGUGAUGGAUGUGAUUGAAAUUGUAUUUUUUUUAAUUGAUAAAAAUGUAACUUUACACAUUUGCCCUUAUAUUUAAAAAAUGAUAAAAAAAAUUAUUUUGAUUGAUUAUUUGUGAAUUACAUUUUUUUUAAAUUAAAAUUAUUUUUUCGACAAUUGAAACAUUAUUUUUGAUACCGUGUUCGAGCUAACUUCGGAAAAUUAUAAAUUAUAUAAAUUUUUUGGAUCAUAUUUAUGAUUGAUAAACAUUAUUGAGAACAAAGUUGUAAUUGUGAAUUAUUUAUUUUUCAAUUAUAGUUGUAUGCAAUUAAAAGAUUAUUUUCGGUAUGGAACAAAUUAUUUCUCAUAAUGUGUUGGAUGUAUAAUUCGAUAAAGGAUUUUUUUUUUAAGAAAUAAAUAUUAAUGUGUAUUAAUGCAGUAUUUUAGUUUAUUAAAGCAAAAUUCAUUGAUAAAUUUUGUGCAUAAUAAUAAUGAUUCAGAAAAUCAUAUGAAUGAUACAAUGAAAUAUGUUUCAUUCAAAAUAGUCAUGGAAGUCCUUAAUUUGUUUAGGGAUUCGUGUCAUUAAUAAGAUUACAGAUUCGAAAAGAAAAACACAUAUGCAUAAUAAAGUACAACCAAAUUUUUACGUAGUUUAGGGAUUUGUAGUCAUUAUCUUGACCAGCUUUCUCAUUCUUCGCUCAAGAGGCAGGCCAAAGAGUUGUUUUACCGCAUUAGGAUGACCACACAAGAAGUCGUAACAAUUAUCUAACAAAUCUCCAUCUUGUAUGUUCAUCUCCACUAACAUUUCCCAGAUGUCAUAUUCAGAGUACUGGAAAGUCGAUGUACGAGGAAGUGUGCGCGUGUGUUCACGAAAUAUGGAGUUUCGUUCUUCUUCUGCAACAACAUGGCGUCUGUUAUAUUGCAGAUUUUCUUCCGUAGCAUUAGCCACUCGCUGUGAUGACAAAGCGACAACCUUAGAUGAAAUGGCUUGUCGCUCAGCAAUAUGACAUAACCUAUCUGACUGAUCAGUACCCCUCCCAAGGAUAUCAGUUAAUCCUUCAAACCUUGUGUUAAGCCUUUCCAGUUGCAGAUCAAUGACGUCCACCAUAGGGGCUUUUCUUUUUGAGCCUCUAGAAGAAGAAGUACCACCUGAUGGCUGGGAUGACUGAGGUGGCACCAAUGGGGGUGUCAAAUUAGGGUCAGGGCUGUAUGAAUCAACAUUAGGAUCAGCUGAGCGAGGAGUUUCACAUUGAGUAGCAUCCAAUCCUGGCUCCUCUAGGAUGUCCUCCAUAUUGUGAUCAUUAAGAUCUACAUUAAAAUGAUGAGACUGAGUUCGAUUUGAGGACUGCAAUGUUGUUCUUCCACCGUGGCCAGUAGCACGAUCAAGCCCCCAAAGUCUUCCAUCAACUUGUAGUGCCUGAUGGGAUUAACACGCCAUUUUGCGGUCGAGGGCUUUGCCUGUUCAUUAAUGAAAAGAAAUACACUCAUAAUCAUAAUUAGUGGUUAAUGUAUGCGAUAAGUGAACAUCAAGUUGAAUAUGUUACCUUUAUCAACGAAUCUCACACUUCAUCCUCGGCCUCGAAAAUUUUCGUGCUUGGAUUCCAAGCAAAACCACUCAGUCCACUAAAUAGAUCAUGGAUCUCACGCCAUUUGUCCUUAAGGCUUUUCUGCCUGUUCUUCACAUUAUUUUUUGUAAUCCCUACCAAUCCAGUCUGAUGUAAGGAUUUAACAAUGUUUGUGUAACCCUGCGUCGUCCAACUACCAUCAAUGCGGUUACCCAUAGAUGCCUCAUCGAUCAUGGCAUUCAGCAAUCGGAAAUCCAUGUCGGUAGUCCAUUUUUUGUGUUCACGGACAACUGCAGAUGACUCUGAAGCAAUACCCUUCCCGUGAUCCAUGAUAAAACCUAAUAAAAAAGGUUAAAACUUUAGUACAAUAACNNNNNNNNNNNNNNNNNNNNNNNNNNNNNNNNNNNNNNNNNNNNNNNNNNNNNNNNNNNNNNNNNNNNNNNNNNNNNNNNNNNNNNNNNNNNNNNNNNNNUCAUACGUAAAUAUUAAUAAAGGUGGAAUGUCAACAUUAAACCAUGAAAUUGUUCUUACAACAAUAUAAAUAUAAGUUCACGGAUGUUACAUAAAAUUAAUUAUUACAAUAACCUUUCCACAUUUCAUUCGCUAUAGUAUCCCUAAUUUGUGACCCGAGCCUGUAGUCAUCCUCACGAGUUUGCGAGUGUGACACAUCUAUAUCUCCUUGCAUCAACUCACGGUCAACUUCUUCCAACAAAGAGUCAUCAUUAUCCACCCCGCGAAGAAAGUUAUGAAGAAUACAACAUGCUAAAACAAUAUCGGUCAUAGUGUCCACAGAGUAAUGAGGCUCUGUUCCGCUAAUGAUAAUUGGAAAUCGCUUUUUGAGGACACCAAAUGUUCUUUCGAUAACAUUUCUUAGUGAGGAAUGACGAUGAUUAAAUAACUCACGGGCAUUUUGUGGACCUCUUCGGGAAUACUCUUUUAGAUGGUAUCGAACUCCGCGAUAUGGAGUUAUAACUUGGGUUUUGAGCAUAAAACCCGCAUCUCCAAGGUAGUAUUUGCCUACAACCAUCCAUUAAUAAUUGUUACUUAUAAGUGAAUUUCAUGUCAAAAUCANNNNNNNNNNNNNNNNNNNNNNNNNNNNNNNNNNNNNNNNNNNNNNNNNNNNNNNNNNNNNNNNNNNNNNNNNNNNNNNNNNNNNNNNNNNNNNNNNNNNNNNNNNNNNNNNNNNNNNNNNNNNNNNNNNNNNNNNNNNNNNNNNNNNNNNNNNNNNNNNNNNNNNNNNNNNNNNNNNNNNNNNNNNNNNNNNNNNNNNNNNNNNNNNNNNNNNNNNNNUCGAUUGUUGUUUAAGAUAUGAGGUUCAACCUCAGUCCCAGCUGGUUGAAUUAAGAACUCUCCAUGCAUCAUCAAUAUUGCUUUCAAAACAUUAUGAAAGUGACGAGACACUGUUUCCCCGGACCGAUGAAAGAAGAACGAAACACUUCGAUUCUUGACGUUAUAACCAAUGAUGUGUAAAAAUUUAGCCACUUGUUCUUCAACUAUAGAUCGAAAUGCAUCUUUAACCAUAUCCGUUCCUCUUAUUCGUUGACAUAAAUUAAUAAAUGCUUCCGGACUCAUGCGAAUAAUGUCACGACAUCUUUCAGUAUGGACCAAGUACGACAUCAAUUCUUGUCGACGACGCUCUUUUUGUGGAAUAAACUCCGGUAUAGGAUUAUUUGUCUCGGUUAACACACGCAAUACGUUCAAUCCAUAUCCAAUCAUGCAAAGAAUUGUCAUUGCUGCUACUUAUGUCCGCAAAUUGAUUUGCUCUUGUAUUUGUGAAACUAGUGUGAAAUCAACACCAACUACAUCGGGAUUCAUGUCAUUCGUGCUAGACAUCUCGACAUUUUUGAAAUACAUAGACCAAUGGUUAUCGUUAUCCAUGGUCACAAAUCCUUGACAAUCAUAUAAGUUUAACUAUUAGGUCUAAAGAACCACCUUUUAGAGAAAUAAUAAUACUCAAUUUUUUUUACUUUUAAAAAAAAUUAAAAUAUUAUAUAUAAACUCUGUAAAGUGUUAUAAUUAUAGUUGUAUUACAAAUUCAAAAUAAUAUUUAUAAAUUUUUUUUUACUUGAUUUUAGGAAAAAAUAAAUAUUAUAUAUAAACUCUGUAAAGUGGUAUAGUUAUAGUUGUAUUAUAAAUUCAGAAUAAUAUUUAUAAAAUUCUUUUACUUGAUUUUAGAAAAAAUAAAAUCUUAUAUGUAGACUAUCUAUAAAGUAAUAUUUUAAAAUAUUUAAAUACUUUGUAUACUUAUAAUUAUUUUAUAAAUUCAGAAUAAUAUUUAUAAAAUUCUUUUACUUGAUUUUAGAAAAAAUAAAAUCUUAUAUGUAGACUAUCUAUAAAGUAAUAUUUUAAAAUAUUUAAAUACUUUAUAUACUUAUAAUUAUUUUAUAAAUUCAAAAUAAAAUUUAUAAAGUCUUUUAGCUGAUUUUGGAAAAAAAUAAAUAUUAUAUGUAAACUAUCUAUAAAGUAGUAUUUUAAAAUAUUUUGUAUACUUAUAAUUAUUUUAAAGCCUGUUCAAAAUAAUAUUUAUAAAGCUUUUUACCUGAUUUUAGGAAAAUUUAAAUAUUUAAAUAUUUUGUAUACUUAUAAUUAUUUUAUAAAUUUAAACUGAUAUUUAUAAAGUUUUUUACUUUAUUUUUAGAAAAAAAUAAAUAUCAGAAACAAUUUAAAUAUUAAUAAGUUUGUUUUAACUAUCAGAAAACUCAUUCAAACUUUCAUUAAUGCUCAUUAAUUCUCAUCAAUAUACUCAUCAAUGUGAUUAAGAAAAAACUUUGAAAACUCAAAAAGGCAGCAGCAUUCUAUUAAUUCUAUUAACAUAAAUAAAAUAAAUUACAAAUUCCUUCCCUCCACAUUUCAUUCUCAUAUUUUAUUCUCCAAAUUCCAAAUCUAUGUAUGAAACUUACCUCCAGAAACCUAGAGAAAACGAUGCCACCGCGAACCACCAACGACCACCGAGCACCACCAGCGGAACCACCACCCACCACCAGCAACGAAACCGUCCACGUCCAACGACCACCAACAACGCCGCCUACGGAACCCCACCCACACCUUGCACCUCCGACAACCGCACACCUCCAACACUUACGAACCUCCGACAACCGCUCACUUCCAACGGUUGUGAACCUCCGACAACCGCGCAUAUCCACCGCGUACCUCCGACGAGCACCUCCGACAACCGCGCACAUCCACUGUGUACCUCCGACGAGCACCUCCGACCGCUUCUAAGGGUACUCCCUCAACUCAAAACAAAUAACCCACCUCCACUCCUCUUCCAUAUUUAUCAUCUCUCUCAUUUAUUCAUCACCCACACACUUGAAUUUAUCCACCAAACAAUGUACGAAUCCCUGUUUGUGCUGUGUUUGUGUUGUGUUUAUGCAAGGAAUCUCAUGCGUGAGAAUGGAGAGAAUAUUGGAGUUGCAUGGCACGGGCAUAGGCAGCUAUGGCACAUAGGUUAGGUGAACGGAUGGGUAAUAUGGUAAAAUGAGAAAGUUUCUCUCCAAAUCUUCUCAUCUCAUCAGGGAAGCCUUUUUCCCUUUCUUUGCUUUUCUUCGCCCCCUAAUCCCCGCUAACUCCCAGAUACAAACAUCAGAUUUAUUUCCUUUUCAAUCCGGGUGAACAGUAAUCACCCGGAUACAAACACAGCAUUAGUGAAUGGUUUACCCCAUAUUCAUCACCCUGAUCAAUUGUGUGAGGCUUGCUUUUUGGAAAGAAUCAUAGGAUACCAUUUGUUAAGGAGCCUUGGCGUGCAAAAUUUCCUUUGGAGCUUGUUCAUACUGAUGUUUGUGGCCCGAUGAACAUAUCAUCAGUUGGAGGUAAUAAGUAUUUUUUAACCUUUAUUGAUGAUUUUUCAAGGAAAACCUGGAUUUUAUGUAUUGAAAAGCAAGGAUGAGGUAUUCCACUGCUUUAAAAUAUUAUAUUUAAAGCAUUUGUUGAAAGACAUAGUGGCAGACAAAUUAAGAUGGUGUGUAAUGAUGGAGGGGGUGAGUACAAGUCUAAUGAGUUCAAGAGGCAUUGUGAGGAACUUGGGUUGCAGCAUAACAUAACCUGUCCCUACACACCUCAACACAACGAAGUUGUUGAGAGAAAAAAUAGAACAAUCAUGGACACGGCGAGGAGCAUGCUUAAAGCAAAAGGUAUGCCAAAUUAUUUUUGGACUGAGGCCGUAACAUGUGCGGUAUAUUUGAUAAACAGAUCACCCACUCGGAGUGUUCCUAACACAACUCUGAUUGAGGCAUGAAGUGGAUUCAAACCCAAUGUGCAGCACUUGAAGGUAUUUGGGUCAAUUACUUAUGCUCAUGUUCCCAAGGCAGCAAGAUCGAAGUUGGAUGAUAAGGCAGAGAAGACCAUUUUCAUUGGAUAUAAGCAUGGGGAUACAAAUUGUACAAUCCAAUGACAAAGAAGGUGAUUGUUAGUCGUGAUGUUACAUUUGCCGAAGAUGAGGAAUGACAAUGGAAUGCAACAGUUGAAAUUGAUUCAAAAAAACGAUAUAUUUACGUUUUGAACGAUGAUGUGGAAGAUGGAGUCACUCUUAAAGCACCUACAGUUCAACCUGAAGCUGUAAUUCAACCUGAAAAUGCAACUCCAAUUGCAACUAUGAUGGAGCGACCAAGAAGGCAACAACGACAACCUGUACACCUUCAAGACUACGAAGUAAAUCUUGACGAUGAAGUUGAUGACAAUGGAGAUUUAGUUCACUUUGCUUUUGUUGCAGACUCAGAACCUGUGAGACUUGCCGAUGCCAUUCAACACCCCAAAUAGCAAAAGCCUAUGAAUGAAGAAUUGAUGGCGAUUGAGAAAAACAAUAUCAUGACUCAAAUUGGGAAGGAUGUUCCAAAUCAUAAUUAAGGGAGGAUGUUGGUUAUUAAUUCUGAUUUUAUUAUUAUUAAUUCUGAUUUUAUUACCUUAAACUAUUUUACCGUUAUAUUGCAUUAAUGGUCAGUUUAAUGGCAUGUUAGUAUUCCUAUUUUAUAUAGGUUCCAGUAAUUGUAAUUUUAUUAUAUAAAUGAUUGAGUAAAUUAAAAUGAAUAGAAUCAAUUUUACAAUUUCGUGCAAUUACGUUCAAUCAACAUCUAAUUUAAAAAACCAUUUUUGCAUAGGACGGAAAAUAGUUCGCGUCCUAUAAGCAAAGCUAAAUUUUAUUCUCACUAGUUUUAAACACUACAAAAAAAAACUUUUAUUAGAAAGGGCCAAAGGCGGACACUAAUCACAAAAAGCCCACGCAAAGAUGCAAUUAACGUGGGCUUUGCCUUCACACAACUUUGAAGCUAAUAUCCUUGUCGCAAAAAAACUGUCGGGUGCGUGGCGUCGCAAAAUGUUGGCUUGCGUGGGCUUUGCCUACAAGUUGCCAACACAAAAAAUUACAAAUGUUAACUUAAGCGGGGGCUUAGCCUUGGACAGAAAAUGAGGGCUUAGGCUUAGCUAGGGGGACAAUAAAAUUAGCGUGGGCUUAGCCUUGGAUAAGGGGACAAUAAAAGUAAAAAUAAAGCGUGGGCUUAGCCUUGGAUAGUGGGACAAUAAAAUUAGAAUAAAGCGAGGGCUUGACCUUGGUAAAGUGACAAUGAAAUUAGAAUGGGCUUAACCUUGGAUAUGUGGACACCUUUUUUUUUGUAUGCACUAUUUUUGGCAGCUAUUGAACUCCACUUUUAAAUAAAAGUUUGGAUUUUAAAUAUUAAAUAUUAAUAUUUUUUAAUUUGCUUUUUUUUUUGCAAUAGCAUUAAAAAGAAAAAAACAUCAAUGAAUUGAUAAGUUAAAAACUAAAAAACAAAAGUAAUGAAUAAAUUAUUAUAUUGAUGAAUAAAAAGUGUUUAAGCACCGGAAGAUGGACAUUAAUUAGUUAGCUUGGUUAUCUUAGUGAUUUCAUUAUUCUUCUUCUUAGGUUUAAGCUUUGUUGAAAUGCCUUCCAUUUGCGCUGCUUACUAGUUAUGUUUUAUCAAAACAUAUGCAAUGAAAAAACUAUCAUUUUAAUACAUUUAAGAAACAUUGUUCUAUAAUAAAUAUUUUUAUUAUAGAAAGUUAUGCACCCAACAGCUGGUUCUCUAGCUUAAGUUAUGCUUAAGUUAGUAAUUUAGCUGGAUGACCACAGUUGUGAAUGAGUAGUUUGAUAGGCUGGUUCUCUAGCUUCCAUGAUCAUCUUUUCUGGAUUCUAUGAAUAUAUUGUUUAUCAAGUUUCUCUGGACACAUAACAUAGUAUCUAAAAUUGGGGAUCGUACAACAACAACAAAGGUUUAAGGAUAGCUACAUACACAAACAUUUAAAUCAUAUGGUAUAACAUCUUGGCUCUUAUAUGUUAAAGAGAUGAUUAUAUUCAAAAUUGUAUAUUGAUCACACAGAAUCCUCUAUGGAGUUACUAAUUAAAUUGCAGAUGUCACUGCAUAUACCCUAAAAGAGNNNNNNNNNNNNNNNNNNNNNNNNNNNNNNNNNNNNNNNNNNNNNNNNNNNNNNNNNNNNNNNNNNNNNNNNNNNNNNNNNNNNNNNNNNNNNNNNNNNNNNNNNNNNNNNNNNNNNNNNNNNNNNNNNNNNNNNNNNNNNNNNNNNNNNNNNNNNNNNNNNNNNNNNNNNNNNNNNNNNNNNNNNNNNNNNNNNNNNNNNNNNNNNNNNNNNNNNNNNNNNNNNNNNNNNNNNNNNNNNNNNNNNNNNNNNNNNNNNNNNNNNNNNNNNNNNNNNNNNNNNNNNNNNNNNNNNNNNNNNNNNNNNNNNNNNNNACUCUUGAACAACAAAACAGAUCCAUGCAUAAUCCAAAUAUAAAACAAUACCAUUUCUAAUUUUUGGAUUGAUUUCCAUAGUGAAUCUAAUUACACCAAAAUGAAGAAGUUUGUGAUUGAACAUUGAAAGGCAAUGACACUUGCCAAAUGUUUUAAGCAAAGAUAGAUGUCACAACCCAGUGUGUCUGUCUUCCCAGAGGAUGAAAAGAGAACAUAUAUAUCUACGUACCUCACAAAAUUGCAAUAUUUUCCCAAAACAGAAAAAUGAGAGAUACUGCAUGAACACACUGCCAAUAAGAUACUUACCCAAAAUUGCAAUCCUUUUUUCCUUGCUUAUAUCACGAACUUUUACUGCAUGAACACACUCACUCAUCACAACACUACCAAGAAGAUAAAAACAUGCACAUCACAACACUACCAAGAAGAUAAAAACAUGCUCAUCACAACACUGCCAAGAAGAUAAAAACAUGCAAAGAGUCAUGCAUGCAAUGUGAGUAAUACAUAAAUGACUCAACCUCUCCAUGUCUUUCUAUUGCAUUGCAUAAAUUCUUGUCAAGGAAACUACAAACCAAACUUAAGAAAUGUUUUAAGAAAACUAACAAAAUGAUGAACUCAAGGCAGGGGUUGAUCCAAAAUUUGCUACACCAAAACAAAUCCAAAAUUAAUUCACUACUAGAAAACUAAAGAUCAAUAAUUCUCUCCUUAAUUUCAAUUACACCAUGUAAAAGGGUCAAAUUUCACUAUGAAUCCAGGACUGGUAAAAGCUAAGAGAAGCCUAAAUUACUUAGAAAUGGACAACUUAAAAAAGAGAGUAAAAAUUGCGAAAAAAAAUGCAUAAGGGGCAAUAGAGAAAGAAGCAAGAGUUCACUGACAAGUGGCAUGGCUGAACAGGGCAAGAAACAUAAACUUUUAAUGGCCAUGAUAUAUUUUCUUUAUCUUUUUUUCACAAUUAAUUCAGUACUUCAUAUUAAGUAGUUAAAAAUUCUGCCAGACAAAUCCUCCCCAAAUUACACGACCUCUAAACCCACAAGAACUGCCAGACUGCCAGUCAAACUACAAGGUUAGCAAUGAAUCCAACCAAAACUUAGAAUCCAAACAAGAAGUUUAGUCAGUCACAAAUAAAGACUCAAGAAUGGUAAGGGUAACAAAACCUAAAGCUUCACAAAUCCCCUGGGAUGUGUUUCCACAUCUUACCUCACAUAUCAGUCUGGAAAAAUAUGCUCUAUCUACAAUGUUUCAAAUAAAGGGGAGACAUCUUCCCUGAGCAUUUUAUUAUUACUAACCUAUGAUUUGCUAAAAAGAAUCAAACAAAAACAAUAUUCAAAUUUAUGUUUUUUAAUCCCUGCUGAAAAAGAACUAACACAAAGUUACAUAUGAUAGAUUUUUGUCAUCAAAUAAAUAACUACAUCCAAACUCAAGUAAGCAUCUCCUUCCAGUAUUUAGAUCUCCUACCUCACAUCCGUGGCUUGUUUUUCGUGUACACUAGCAGAUUUUAAUCCUUAACCGGUUUUACAUGCUAAAAAGAAAUGAACACAAACGAAUCAACACCUAGACAUAAAAAAUUUAAGAACUAUAUUUAAAUUCAAAUAGAUAUUGGUAAUAAAGACCAAGAAUUUAAGAAAGCAUAAGAUGAAUUGAAGGAAUAAAAAAACCAGAGAAAUUCAAAUAGUCAGUCCCAGUUAAAGACAAAAAUAUGUGUGGAUGCAAAGAAGAUCGAUAAUCAUGCAACACAAAUUAGGCAAGAACAUUGUUCCUUUGCACGAACCAAGUUCAAGUUCAAAAUUCAUUUGUCAAUGAAAGAAACUAAUAAAGUAUAUCUGACAGACACAUCAUAUAUUACAAACUUCAAUAAUCAACAAGAACUAUAUUCAAAUUUAUAUUUUUUAAUCCUCAACUGGAAUCAUGUUGAAAACGAACUAACGCAAGCACAUAAACGGUUACAUAUGAUAGAUCUAACAUAAAAUAAAUAACUACAUCCAAACUCAAGUAGACAUUUGUCAUGAAAGAAAGACAAAAAAUGUAGGAUAACAAAACCUAACGCAUCAAGGAUCUCCAUCCAGUAUUUAGAUAUCCUACCACACAAAGAAAUCAACACCUACACAUACAAAUUUUAAGAACAAUAUUUAAAUUCAAAUAGAUAUCAAUAAUAAAAACCAAGAAUUUAAAAAAGGAUAAGAUAAAUUAAUGAAUUCAAAAACCGGUGGAGCCUUAGUUGCUCAAAACACGCACGAUGAGGUAGAAGAUUCAACCCUUAGGCCUUAUAUAACAUACUCCAUGAUAUGGUGCAGGGCAUUAAGUGAAAAUAAUUCAAACAUCGAACACAAUUCAAUCCUUGGAGAUCAAGUAGAGAGAAAUUAAACAAUAGAGAGGAAACUCAUCAAGAAAUUAGGAUAUCCUGAGCUGCAGUCGUUUUAAACUCUUUUAGAGUUUAGGGUUUCAAAUAUCAAGUAGAAAAAAUUCAAUCAUCGAACACCAUUUAAUCCUUGGAGAUCAAGUAGAGAGAAAUUAGGGAAACAAAACAUAAUACUUCACAUCAUGUCCUACACUACACCACACAUCCAUUGCGUGCUUUCCCUGUACAGCCCAAAAAUUCAAGAAACGAAUUAGCUGUACAGCCAAAAAUUCAUGAAAACGAAAUAACCUCUUAAUAAAAAGAAGUAUAGAAAAAUGAUAAAAAUGAAGAUGCAGAUGCAGAUAAAGACUAAAAAAGACUUGGACAGUUACACAACCAAACACCACUGCAGACAAACACCAAUAAACAAAUCAUAAUCCAAUCCUUAUUUUCGGUGAUCAAUACCAGAUAAAUUAAAUAAUAGAAAGGAGACUAAAACAAGACUUGGAUCAAUUGGCCUUUCUAAACUAUUAUGUUUUUCAUUUCAUCGAUAGACAAAACAAAUCUCAAAACCAAGUCACCAGCAGAAAAGGGAUAAAGGAAUUUGAUCAAAAGAUUCAAAACUUGCCAUCAUCACAAAGAAUCACAUUCGGCGUAAAUGAAUCACAAUCCAAUAAAAGCACAUUAAUCACUUACAAAUAAUUUUUCUAUCCCACGACGCAAACAUCAUGUAAUUCUACAAAACCUUAUAGAGAAUCACAACAAUAACCGAAGCAAUACUAACAAAACUGAUCUUGGAUAUAUAUGUAAUACUAACCAAUGACUAAAUCUAAUAACCCAGCAACCAGAAACUAAAUCUAAUAACCCAGCAACCAGAAACACAGUGUUAGGGUACAAUCGAGAUGGAUUGAAAACGAAAGGAAAUGCAAAACUUACGAUGUUAGGGCACAAUCAAGAACACGGUCGUACUCCGGUCGCAAUGCUUGAAUGCUCAACAGAGAGAGUACUUCGGUCGCAAUGCUUGAAUGCUCAACAGAGAGAGUACUCCGGUCGCAAUGUGAGAAUGUUGUUGAUGCUGAGGAAAAGUGGAGUGAAGUGAGUAUUGCAUGGAGAGAAUUGCUUCAGAAUUGAAAAAUGAAAGAAGAAAAAGAAAAGAAGGGAUUAAAGUAAAGCAAAAAUAAAAAUUAAUUAUUUGUGUGUAAUUUGCAUGGGCUUAACCUUCUUAUUAUUUAAAUUUAAUUUUAAAACUUUUAACGUGGGCUUAACCUUCAAAUAUUUAAAUUUUAAUUAUUUUUAUAAUUUUAGUAGCUGCCAUUUCAACAACGCAACCAUUAUUAUUAUUUUUUUUUUGAAGUUUACGUGAGAAUAACACACGCUUUCCUCACACCUUAUUUAAUUUAUUUUAGGUUUAAUGGAUACUAUAUAGUGUCCACUUAUGGCCUUCAAUAUUUGUUUGCAGCUAAAUUAAGAUUUCUUUGUAAUGAAAUAACUUUUUUUUUACCACCAAAAGGAAUUUAGAAAAAACGAGAAAUUGAACAAUAAGAUGAACGAUGUGAUAAAGACCAAAUAAAAAUAUAUUAAGAAUAAAAUCAUUUUAGUGUUACUUAUAAAAGAAUAGUACACAUCAGAUUUCUCUGGUUACUGAUAAUAGAAUUUAUAUAAUAAAUAAAUUAUUCAUACGAGAUUACAUAAAACUAACUCAAAUUUAACCAUAGAUUGAUGACAGCUUCAUAUAUUGGAGUUUUUUUACGUGAAUUUUUUAUUAUUAUUAAGACUCUUAGGACCAAUCAAACAAUAGAACACAGUUUGAAGAGUCUUAUCAUGUACGCAACGAAGUACCAAAUAAAAUUUUGAGAUGUGUUACAACUAUACCUGGUAAAAGUGGGAUAGUCCAACCUCAUUAAACUCUUCAAGAAAAAAAUGUGAUCAUAUAGACUACUCCAUAAUUUCAACAAACACCAAUUUUCAGGUUUAGUUCCAUUCUAUAUUAUAACAUUUCAUUUUCACUUAGAAAAAAUAAAUUCACCUCCACACUUACAACUUUAUCUACUUAAACCAAUUUAAUCCAACUACGUGUUAAGAAUAUAAGUAUAAAUUUGAGUCUCAUUUAAUAAAUAUAAGAAGUUGAAUAACAAAUAACUAUGAAUAAAUAUAAAAAGUUGAAUAACAAAUAACUAAUCUUAAGUUUAGCACAAAACACAAUUAGUUCAACUAAAAACUUACAAAAAAUAUUGGAAGCAUCAAUGGAGCUUAUUGCAAUAAAAAAAAAUCUAAACAAAACAUUGUUUUGUUAAAAUGUGCAUCUAUUAGUUAAUAAGUUUAUUAUAAAACUUGUAUUGAUUUUCAUUUUCACUCAAAUUAUUUUAUUUUUUUAUAUCUUUAAUCAUGUAACGACAUGUUAUAUUCUUUUGUAGGAUAUCAUAUGAACCCGAGGGAUAAUUAAGACAAAGGUUUGGAUUUCUAAAAAUAAUAUUAAUAAUGCAAAUAAUAUUAAUAAUCUAAAUAAUAUUUAUAAAAAAAUUAUACUAGACAUUACAAACAUCUCACUUAUAUUGACAUUUCAAAUUUCAACCACCUCUAUUGAAAAAAAAAAUUAUUAAACAAGUAAAAAAAAAUACAAACAAGUACGAGAAAUUAAAACAAAAUCCAUACUAACCAUAAAAUACAUCAAAACUAAACAAGAGAAACAUAGUUAAUUUAUACCUAUUAUGGAAAAUGUUCAAGAAUAUAUUAAAAUAAUAUAUUAAAAUACAGUCUAUUAUACCAAAUAAAGUCUUACCUAUAAAGAAAGUCUAAAUUGACAGAUUUAUCAUUACCCCUCUUAAAAUAUGAAAGACAUACUUUUACAAUAAAUAAGACAUUUAUUUCAUUUAUUCUUAAUAAAUCAUCAAGUCACAUGAGUCAUAGAAGGAAAAGCAAAGCAAACUAAUAUGAUUCACACUCUUACCAUAAUAAAUUAUAAACCAAUGUAAAUAACAUUUAAUGAGGGAUAAAUUUUUUCAAUAAAUAAUAAUAUUUUUUAAUUUAUUUUUAGUUAUUUGUGAAUCUCAUUUCGAUUUGAUAUUUAAUUUGAGUGUCAUAUUGUCAUUAACCAAUAUUUAAUUGUUUUUUCUCUUAUUCUAUUAUUGUGUCAUUCCAUUUGGAGCAAUAGAGGGGCUAGUUUAGUGUAUGUGUUGGCAUUUGAUUUGUUCCUUUUCGGUAUGUUCGUACAAGGUAAAAUCGUAAAAAGGAAAAAUUAGAAAACUGUCUUGUUAGAGUAUUGUGUUAGCAUAAUAUUGAUCUCAAAAUAAGGUUAUUUUGUAUGUUAUUGUUUUAUAAAUCUCAAAACAAAUUUUGCAGGUUCAAGAAAAAGCUUUGGAAUAUGGAAAUUAAAUAUAAAUAUUUAUCAAAGAAUAGAAAAAUACUUCAAGUUAGCAUGUUCCUCAAUUGGAAUAUCGAUCUCAAAAUAAGUUUAUUUUUGUACUUCACUAUUUUAUAAAUCUCAAAAAAAAAUUGCAGGUUCAAGAAAAAGCUUCGGAAUAACAAAAUUAAAUUUAAAUAUUUAUCAAAGGAUAAAAAAAAAAUUAAAAAAAAAAUACUACGAUCAAGUUCAUUUUCUUGAAAACUUUACGAGCUCUAAAAUAAAUAAAAAAUACAACUAAUUAUUCAGAAAUUUAUGAACUUGGAAAUUUUUAAUUUUCAUUAAGAAUAAUUAUUUUUUAUGAUAUGUUAUUUGCAAUUAAUUAAUCUAGUAAAAAAUUACAAUCAAAUAACGAGACUAUUGAUAAAUUAAAAGGUAUUCGUUUAUUUUAUUUCUGUAAAUUAUAGGAAAAAUGAAUUUGAAAAUGCAUUGUCUUCUGCUAAAGAAAUUGCUUUUGAAAUAGAUACAGAGUAUAAGUUAUGUGAAAAACAUGGUAGAUCUGUUGAUAAUAUAAGUUAUGUGAAAAACAUGGUAGAUGUGUUGAUAAUGAAAUUCUAAAAUCUCCUAAAAAAUCAUUUAGAUUUUAUGACUUUCUAUACAUUCAAAGAAAACAAUUAACUCCAAAGUUGAUUUAAGAAUUCAAAAUAUAAGAAAAUAUGAAAAAUAUUUGAAGAAUAAUUUCGUGAUAUUGAUGGAUUAUAUUUAUUUUCAAAAUUUAAUAUCUUAAAAGAAAUGACAGAAUUGAAAAAUAAUAACUAAUUGACCUUCUAAAUCAUAUAAAAUAAAUAAAUUAUUUUCCAAAUAUAUAUAUAAGAGAGGGAUUACAGGUAAUAAAAUAAUAUAAAUAUUCUAGUACUACCAAUAUAAUCAAGAAAUUAAGGUGAAUGAGAAUUUAUAUUUUUUUUCUCCAAUCCAUAAAGAAAUGUUUUAAAAAAAAUCAUUAUAAAAGAUCGAUCUAUUAUAAAGUGGAUUUUAAGCUUAACUCAAUCCCAUAAAACUGGUUUAAUCCCAUAAAACUGGUUUAUAGGGUUGAGGAUUGCACCCACUUAUAUACGAUGAAAGACUCUAAUCUCUAGUCGAUGUAGAUUCCAACAUCAACCUCAAAUAAUAUUUCUUGUAAUUAAGAUCAAAACAGUAAACGAUUACAAUAUCGAUUGAUUUCGUUGAAAUGAUUUUUUUAAAACUAAAAGUUACUUAAUAUUAUCAACGAAACCCGAGGCUCACCUCUCCUUUGACCAUGUUAAUUCACAAUCUCUUUCACUAUGCCAUUAAAUGAGUUUGGAACAAGUUUUGUCUUUCUCACCGUCGUCAUGCUUCCCAAGGACCCAUUCACUUAACUCUUCGUGCGUUCCAAUGCAAACAAGUCAGGGUUUUGAUUUGCUUCCUACGAAUCCAAAAUUAGUAACUACAGAAUGUUGUUUGUUGUUGACUCUACAAAUUUAGGGUGGGAAAGAAAAGUUUAUAUCAUACUACUCCACUUCAUAUGCUACUUCAUUUGAUUUUUUUAUUGGUUGUUCUUUGAUGAAGUUUUUCAUUGCUGUUGAUGUUCUUGGUGGUUCUUUGGUCAAGGUGUCUAUUGCUACACGGUGUGUGGGUGAAUUUGUUGGUGACUAGAUUUUUUUGUUAUCAUGGGCUGGUGCAUAGUUGUACCUUUUUUUUUUCAUUGAAAAUUUAAUUUGUAUGGGUGAAAUCUAAACUAUAAAGAUGAUGAAAUUUGCUAAUUCUAGAAUACGUUGUGAUUUUGCAACUAUUUUAUUUUACUUCUACUAUGUGUGAAUUUAGUAAGGUUGAAACCAUCUUGAAAUCUUUUUUAUAUUUAUUUAAACUAUGAUUUGACUCUCGCUAUUUGUUUAUAUUUUAAUAUUAAUUAGGACUUAAUCCUCUUUAAGUUAGAGUAUGUUAAGGUUGCGACCUCUCUAGGUUAGAGUAAGCAAGGUCUUGAUCCUCUCUCUAAUUUAGAGUUAAAGUUUUCCAAUUUCCAAUAAACAACUCUUUUACGUUGUUAAGCCCACUCUAUUAACGAGAGUCCAAUCUACAUUAUUAGUUUCCACUUAGAGAGGACUUAUGAUUGUUAUAGGUUGACGUAAAUAAAAAAGUCAUUUUCAAUCCGUUCACGGUGUAUGGAACACUAUAUGUCCACAUUAAUUAUAAUGUAACGACUUCUUUUUCAAUUUUAGUCCAUCUUUGACUCAUGCUAUAGACAUUUUUCUUGUAAUUUGAUAACUUUGGAUAUUAGAAUGAGAAAUUUUUCUCGGUCAUCAUCCACUGAAUUUGAGUGUUGGAGUGACUAAUAACUCAAUUAAGGGAAACUUCAAAAUAUUAAUUCAUAAAUCACAUUUAUUAUAGAUAUAAAUGUAAAUUUGAGAAUAGGGAAUUAUGAUUGUAUUAAAAAAUAAAUAUUAUUUGUGUGUUUUUAUAACAUGAUUGAUAAAACUUACGUAACCAUUUAAAAUUAAAGCGAAAUAGGAUUAAUUGAGAAAUGUAUCGAUUAGCACAUGUAUGUUCUUUUCAACGGCUUUGGUGACCUAAUUAGAAAACGUCAAACUAUACUGGCAACCUAACUGGAAAACUUCAAACUAUACAGCCAUUCCAUUACUUGUGGAGUAAGGCAAAAAUGCCUUUGUGUUUACUUUUCUAGUAUACGUGCAAGUGUACAGGUCCACUAAUUUCGCAUAUGGUUCUUUCAUUGGCUUUUUAUUGAGUAUAGAUAUGAAAUAUAUUUGGUCCACGUCAAAAAGAAAAAGAAUUGAAAGCGAAACCAAAAAGCGAAAAAAAAAGUAGAAUUAGAAAAUUAAAUAAAUGUUGAAGUUAUUUGAUAAAAUAUAAAUAAUUAUGUUUUCUAUUUCAUUUCUCCUAUUGCAUCAUAUCACGUGACCUAUUUAUAUUCAUAUUGAUUUACUAGGAUUAAUAGUGUUGGAAAGGAAAUAUCAAUUUUGUUUCUUCUACAACUUAACAAUUAACUUAAAUGCUUGUUUGGUAUUGUUAUAAAUCUGAGACUUAGACUGAAAAGUGAAUUGUGAACUUAUGUUUAUUAUUAGAUUAAAAAGUGAGUUGUGAACUUAGGUUUAUUAUUAUAAAUUAUUUAUACUUAUUUUAUUUGUGUAGUAAGUUACGUGUGUUUUUAUUAGUUGAAUGGUGUUGGUUAUUAAUUAUGAUUUCUAUUAUUAAUACUGAUUUCACCGUUAUACCGUUAUUGUUUCAUUAAUGGUUAGUUUACUUAUUUCCUUCCAUUAGUUUCCUACAAUUGGUAUCAAGAGCUAGUCUGUUAUCAUGAACUCUACCCAAUUACUAGUCCUAUGGAAAAAAUUACAAUCAGUGGUGUGUGCAAAUGAGAGUUUUUUUUAUUAUUUAUUAUCAUGAGUUAUGGGAUGUCGUUGAGGGUGGAGUGGUUGCAUUAGCUGUUAAUGCAAUUGAGGCGCAACGAGUAGCGCAUCAUGAUGACAAUAAGGCUUUGUAUCUCAUCCAUAGGGAUGAAUGACAAGACGUUUGAGAAAAUAUAAGGAGCAACAACUGCAAGUGAUGCUUGAAUCAUUUUGUCAACCAAUUAUAAAGGGUGAUGACAAGAUCAAUAGGGUGCGUCUUCAAACCCUAAGACGCCAAUAUGAACUGUUGCAGAUGGAAACCACAUAGAUUAUUGAUGUCUAUAUAAAUAAAGUUCUUGCCUUGACAAAUCAGAUGAAAAGCAAUGGUGAAACACAUUCGGAGCAGGCAAAGGUGGAGAAGAUUUUGAGGUCUUUAACUCCCAGAUUUGAACAUGUUGUUGCCGCAAUUGAAGAGGCCAAUGACAUUUAAAAAAUGACAGUAGGGUUAUUGUCUGGUUACCUACCAGCGCAUGAGCAGCGAAUGAAUGACAAUAAUAUUGAAAAACCAAUUGAACAGGCUUUACAAGCACAAGACUCAAUUGGUAGCUCUUAUCAUAAACACGGUAGUUCACGAGGCAGAGGACGGGGACAUGGUGGUAGCUAUUCCAGCAAAGGUCGUGGUGGCUAGAAUCAUGGAGGCGCUGAGCAAAAUAACAUUGGUUUCAAUCACAUUCCAAGUUCAAAUAACUCUUGACGUGGAGAACGUGAUCGCGGAGGAUGAGGAGGCAUUUAUAAUAAAUCAAAUGUGGAGUGUUAUAACUGUCAUAAACGCAACCAUUAAGCAAAUGAGUGCAGAUCAAAAAGUGAUAAUCAUGCUGCCAAUUGUGCUCAAGAAGACAGUAAUCACGUACAAGAUGAAGAGGAUCAUGCAUAACUAAUGACAGCCACAUCAAAUGAAACUCCAAACAAUCAGACUUGGUAUUUGGAUACAGGUUGCACAAAUCAUAUGUGUGGUCAAAAGGAGUUGUUUGCAUAUUUGGAUGACUCAUUUUGCACAAAAGUGAAAUUCGGUGAUGGCAGGGUCGUUCCGGUGACUGGAAAAGGGCGAAUUCUUAUCACAUUGAAGAAUGGUGAUCACAGGUACAUAUAUGAUGUUGUCUAUGUACCUGAUAUGAAAAGUAAUUUGUUGAGUAUGUGACAACUGGCUGAGAAGGGUUAUGUGAUGUACAUAGUUGAAAAUAAAUUCUCAAUUUUUGAUAAAAAAUGUAGUUUGAUUCUUAAAACCUUUUUAUCAAAAAACCGUAUGUUUCCAGUAGAUAUUCAUAUGGGUGACUUCAAGUGCUUGAAUGCAAUAGUGAAUAAUGAAUCGUGGUUAUGGCAUUUACGCUUUGGGCACUUAAAUUUUCAGAGUUUGGAAAAUCUCUCCAAACGAAAUUUAGUGAAUAGUUUACCCCAUAUUUAUCACCCUGAUCAAUUGUGUGAGACUUGCAUUUUUGGAAAGAAUCACAGGAUACCAUUUGUUAAGGAGCCUUGGCGUGCAAAAUUUCCUUUGGAGCUUGUUCAUAUAGAUGUUUGUGGCUCAAUGAACAUAUCAUCAGUUGGAGGUAAUAAGUAUUUUUUAACCUUUAUUGAUGAUUUUUCAAGGAAAACCUGGAGUUAUCUAUUGAAAAGCAAGGAUGAGGUAUUCCACUGCUUUAAAAUAUCAUAUUUAAAGCAUUUGUUGAAAGACAGAGUGGCAGACAAAUUAAGAUGAUGCGUAGUGAUGGAGGGGGUGAGUACAAGUCUAAUGAGUUCAAGAGGCACUGUGAAGAACUUGGAUUGCAACAUAACAUAACAUGUCUCUACACACCUUAACACAAUGGAGUUGUCGAGAGAAAGAAUAGAACAAUCAUGGACAUGGCGUGGAGCAUGCAUAAAGCGAAAGGUAUGCCAAAUUAUUUUUGGGCUGAGGUCGUAACAUGUGCGGUAUAUUUGAUAAAUAGAUCACCCACUCGGAGUGUUCCUAACACAACUCCGAUUGAGGCAUGGAGCGGAUUCAAACCCAAUGUGCAACACUUGAAGGUAUUUGGGUCUAUUACUUAUGCUCAUGUCCCCAAAGCAGCAAGAUCGAAGUUGGAUGAUAAGGCAGAGAAGACCAUUUUCAUUGGAUAUAAGCAUGGGGGAUACAAAUUGUACAAUCCAAUGACAAAGAAGGUGAUUGUUAGUUGUGAUGUUACAUUUGUCGAAGAUGAGGAAUGGCAAUGGAAUGCAACAGUUGAAAUUGAUUAAAAAAAAACGAUAUAUUUACGUUUUGAACGAUGAUGUGGAAGAUGGAGUCACUCUUGAAGCACCUGCAGUUCAACCAGAAGCUGCAAUUCAACCUGAAGUUGCAAAUCCAAUUGCAACUAUGAUGGAGCGACCAAGAAGGCAGCAACGACAACCUGUACACCUUCAAGAUUGGCGAAGUAAAUCUUGAUGAUGAAGUUGAUGACAAUGGAGAUUUGGUUCACUUUGUUUUUCUUGCAGAUUCAGAACCCAUGAGACUUGCAGAUGUCAUUCAACACCCCAAAUGGCAGAAGGCUAUGAAUGAAGAAUUGAUGGCGAUUGAGAAAAACAAUAUCAUGACUCAAAUUUGUUUUAAUCCAGAUAUUCCAAUUAAGAUUUAUGUUGACAAUGUCUCUGCAAUUAAUCUUGCAGAGAAUCCAGUUUUUCAUCAAAUAAGUAGUCACAUUGAUAUUCGAUAUCACUUCCUGCGAGACCAAGUUAAGAAGAACAUGAUCAAAUUGGAAUACUACAGAUCAGAAGAUCAGAUUGCAAAUAUUUUCACUAAGCCAUUGAAGAUCAAUGCUUUCAUCAAGUUAAGAAAUCUGUUGGGUAGGAAGGUUGCUCCAAAUCAGAAUUAAGGGAGGAUGUUGGUUAUUAAUUCUGAUUUUAUUAUUAUUAAUUCUGAUUUUAUUAUGCUUAAACUAUUUUACCGUUAUUAUUGCAUUAAUGGUCAGUUAGUAUUCCUAUUUUAUAACUUCCAGUAUUUGUAAUUUUAUUAUAUAUAUUAUAUAUAUUAUUGAGUAAAUCAAAAUAUAUGAUACCAGCUCAACAGUUUUGCAAUCUUGUGCAAUUACCUUCAAUCAGUUUCUACAACAUUUUGCCUUCUCUUAUUUCCUUCAAUUAGUUCCUACAAAUGAGAAUAUAAUUAAUAUAAUUAUUUAAUAAGAAACUUAUAUACCACCUCAAGUUAUUUUGGAGUCAAAAUAUUAUAGGAAUGGUUAUCAAUGAAUGAUUUACUAAAAGUGGUAAAUUUUCUUGAGGUUUUAUGAAUGUGAAACCUAAAUAUGUAAAUUUUGAUAGUCAAAAGACUAAUCCCUUUAAGAAUUAAUAUAUUUCAAUAAAAGUGAUUGGAUAUGGUUUUAGUUUGGAGUCAACAACUUAAAGAGACUUGUGUCAAUGUGUAAUCUAUUCUAAUCCACAUAGGUUGAACUCCUAUUAAGGAUACAUAAAUUUUUAAUCUGAUCAACAAGCUAAAGAGAUUGUAUUAAAAAUAUUUCAGUAGUCUAACAGUGGUUGCGAAUUCACGUGAUAUGUGUAGCUCUCAAAGUAAAUAACUUGUUUUCCAAGCUAUCCAAAGAGAUCAAUAUACUUGUCUCCCAAGAGAUUUAUUACUACCCAUGUCAUUUAGACACAAAUAUUUAUGAUAUUGGUAAAAUUAAAAAAAAAUAACUUUACCUACAAAUAGUUAAAAUAUUUGAAAUAAGUGAAGUAAAUGAAUAAUAUAAAUUUAUUCAGAGAUUAUUUAUUAUGAUAAACCUAAUUUAUUUUAAAAGAAUAUAUGACUAAUACAUUUUUUACUUACUCAAAUAUAGUUUAAUUUAUUUUAAAAAAAAUCCAAAAGCUAAAACUUUAGAACAUAAUAUUUUAAAUGUUUUACUUUACACGUGUAAUCCUUAACUAUUUAAAUGUUAUACAAUUAUUAUAGAUAUAAUAACUAUUUUAAAGAAAAUAUUUUAUUUAUUUUAUACAUUUUUCUUACAACAACAAAAUAAAAACCAUAGAUAAAUCCCACUCUUUUAGUGUUUUUUUUUUCUUUCUCUUUUCUCAAUUUGCCAAUUUGCCGUCAUUGUUGAAGAUCUCACCCACUAAUCAAAGUCAUAUUUGAUGUGAAUGUUCUCUUCAAUUCAAAGUUUAUCUUAAUAUUAUGCUAAACUUAGACUUAGUCUAAACCUUACUGACUUGAUUUCAACUUUUCUUUAUAUUUCUUCUUUUUAUACAUAACUUUUCAAACUUUUAAUCUUACACAAAAAGCAUGUCAUUCUUCUCUGACAACAUUUUAUUUCAAUUUUUCUUGAUGGUGUGCUUCAUUUGAAAUUUCAUUUUACUUUAUAUUUCAAUUUUGCUCAUAAGUUAUGAUUGGAGUUUAUUCUAAUUUUUUCCAGUGUCUUAAUAUUUUUCCAUAGUGUGUUUGAUUUUUUAAUUUUCUAUGCAAAAAUUAGUGUUAAUAAUUGUGUCUAACUUUUCUUGUACUCUGUCCUUUAGUUUGAAUGCUUCAUCCUCUGUUCUGCUUCUAAUUUUUCUUAUAUUUUAUCCUGUGUUUUGAAUGCUUAAACUUUUACACUUGUUUUAACCUGUUUUGCUAUUAAUUGUUGUUUACUUGUUGUGAUAUAAGGUUUGCGUGAUUAGUUAGUUGAUGGCAUACAAGUAAUGAAGAACUUUUAAGUAACACAGUUAGUUAAUACUCAAUUAUUAAAAUAUUGCAAGACAUUUCUUAAAAGUGUUUUAUGUUUUAUGUAAUUGUAUUUACCUAUAAUGAAGUUGAUAGCGAAAGAAAUAUUUAAUACUUUUUUUUUCUUUUUUUUUUCUUUUGGAAGGAAUCGAGGGAUACAAACUAUAUCUUCAUAUAUGGAAAAUUAAUUUAGUUAUAUCAGUUGCUAAGUGAAGAUCAAGAUCAUUUGUUUAUUAGUGUGUACGUAUUGAUGUGUUUUGGGAUUAUUAAAAUUUGACGUGUUUGAUAAAGAGUGAUUUAUUCAUAAGUAAACUAUGUUUUGGGAUUAUUAAAUUACGUAUUGAUACUUUUAUUUUCGUGAGGGGAAUGCAUGUGCUGAUAAGUUGACUAAUUUAGGGUUCAUUCAUAGAUAAUCAUUUUAUUGGUAUAAUAGACUUCUAUCUAGUAUGUUCUUAGAAUUCUUUAUGAAUAGGUAUAGUCUACCUAUGUAUCGUUUUUGUUAACAUGUGAGUUUUGGUCUAAUCCUCCCAUAUUUUGGUAUUUUUUUUCUUUUUUUUAAUAAUAUGUUUUUCAUGUGAUGGCAGAUGAUUGUUGUUACUUGAGGUGUCAGCCUAGCUGAGAUGUCAAGUUGCAUAAUGAUGUCUAACAUGGAAAAUUUUAUAAAAAAUAAAAAAACAAAAAAAAACUAUGGUUUUUGUUAUUGAGAAAUUGUUUUUAAGAAAGUGUUGAUUACAAAUUACUAUUUUUUUUAAAAAAAAAUUGUUUUGAACAUCGUAACAUCUUUUUAAUGAAAAAUAUUUAUUGCAUAUAGGGGCUUUUAACAAGUUUGGAAUUGAGUGGAAAUUGGUGUUGGUUUAUGUUGCAAGUUGAUGGUUGAAUCAUAUUCAUAGAUAGAGUUGGUACUUUUUAAUAAUGUAAUUUAGUAUAUUAUUGAUAUUUUAAAAUGAUAAAGAGUGUGUGUAUAAUCUCAAUAAUAUAUGAUUUAAAUGUAUUAAAAAUUGAACUUUAAACAUAAAUCAACUUUAAAAAAUCGACUCAUAAGUUAAGGUUUGCACUUACUUAUAUAUUAUGAAAUGUUUUUAUCUUUGGUCGAUGUAGGAUUUUCAACAUUUCCCUUCACGUCAAGAUCUAUCAAUUCGUGUGUGAAACUAUAUAUUUAUAGGUGGUCAGAUAGCAACCGACCUUAUAAGUCUAACAAACUCUCAUUAGGAUAAACUGUAAAUGACUCUAAUACCAUAUUAAGAAGUGAAUUUUAAGCUUAAUUCAAUUUUAUAAAAUCAAUUCAUAAGGUAAUAUUUACACUCACUUAUAUAAUAUGAAAUGUUUUUAUUUCUAGUCGAUCUGAAAUCUCGAACAAAAUGUGAAAAUAUUCAAUUUUACAAGUAUGAUUAUUAUAAUUAUUAAAUAGGAGAGAUAUGAUUAUUAAGAUCUCAUUACUUGUAUUAUAAAAAAAACCCACGAACUAAAUUUUGUAUUGAUAAAAACUUGAGGAUUGUGGUUGAAAAGGCAGAACAAUUGUAAGAAUUAUCUUUUCAAGCAUAAUACAAAGUAUUUCUUUGUAAUUGAUAAAAAUUUAAACUGACACAUCAAAUAUUUAAAUUAUAUUAUUGAAAAUGGGUUCAUAGAUGAUUUAAAGAAGUAUAUGGUACAAGUUGAAAAUUUAAGAGGUUUUAAAGCAAUAAUAAUCAUAAAAUUUGGAGGAAUGACGUCCAUUCAAAAGUGAUAGGAUGAAAAAAGAAAGACAUGUAUGUUGUUUUAAUAGACUUCCACCAACUAAAUAUUUAAAUAUCUCAUCUCAAAAUUCUAUAACAGAGAAUAAGAUUAACAAUUUAGAAAAGAUUUUUAAAAAUCUUUUAUCUUUUCUUUAGAAAACAUUUUUAAAAAUCUUUUAUCUUUUCUUUAGAAAACAUUUUUAAAAAUCUUUUAUCUUUUCUUUAAACAUGAUGAGUGGUAAUUGUUCUUGCCAACAAUGUGGAAUCACAUCUUCAAGGUAGUCUCCGAACAAUCUUUCGGUAUUGUAGUCCUUGAGUGCUUGAAGAUCACCAAGUGAUGAGGGGAGCUCCACUCGUUGACAAGACUUCGACAAUCAAAUCAGUGAGAACAUUAAAUAUUUCAAUGUAGUAUGUAUUGCAUAGAAUAAUACUUGUCUUUGUUUGGGGACUCAUGACCCUUAUAUAGGACUCGUAGAUCCUUUUUUAGGAGUUUGUAAUCAGACACUUCCUUUGAACUUUUAGUUACACGAUUCGAUUUGUUGGACUCGAUCCGACUGACCCGAAAACGUCUAUUGAGUCCGAUCCAUUGGACCGAAAACACCCGAUCCACAUUAUCGGGUUCUACCCCGAUCUUGACUGAACGAUACAGUAAUAUACAAAUUGUAAAUAAAAAAUAAAAAAUAUAGUAAUUACAUUUAAUCAUCUAUAAAAAAAUUUAAUACUAAUAUGAUAUUUUAAAAAGAUAUUUUUUUCGGAAACACUUGAUGAUGAUGGAAGGAUUGAAAUUAUUCUAAUAGUAAUGUUUAAACACAGUAAAAAAAAGUCAAGUGAUAUGAUAAUGAUUGAAAAUUUACUUUUAAAUACAAUUAUCAUUUUUUACUAUAAGAUCAAUUUUUUUAAUGUGAUUACAUAUAUUUUAUAAAUGAUGUGGAUUUUUAUGGCCUGUACACAUCAUUAAUGAGUGAGAUAAUAUGUUUAAUCAUUUGCCAUUUAAUUUUUAGUACUUUCAAUGAACAAAUGAGAUUCAUAUGUAAGAAAUUUAGCAUCGAUUAUGACUCAUAGGACACAAAAUGUAUUUCAUUGAGUUGAGUGUGGUAUUUCAAUACCUAAUUAAUAUUUUUUUUGUCAUUAGUAAUUUGGUAUUGAUUUAAAAUCGAAAUUGUUGUUGACUAUUAAGAUUUAUUUGCUUUUGUAACUAUUAUGUUUUCCUCUUAUAAAUUUUGUUUAUAUUUUAGAUUAUAAAGUUGUUGUAAAACAUUGCAAAAACUUUUCUUAGUGGUUUUUAUCUAGUACAAUCAUUUAUAUUUUAGUGGACUUUUAUUGAAUUGAAUACACCCUACUCCAAUAGCCUAUGACGAGUCACACAAAUUUCAUUUGACAACAAAGAAUCUAUAGGGACAAAAAGUGGAACUUAUAGAGAAUCUUUAAAUUCAAAUUGAUAUUUUGAAUAAGUGAACAAAAAGUUAAACCCAUUUAUUAUAGCCAUUGUUUCCAAAAAUAUUUAAUAGUGAAUAUUUGAGCAAAUAAUGUAGAAUGUAUUAUAGCUAAAGACAAACAUCAUAUUAUUGUUUGGUACACGGAAAAUGUUAUAUUAUCACAAUUAUCGGUAUAUAUUAAUAAAUUUAUUCUCAAAAUUUUAACUAAUAAAUUUAUUCCACCAUUUUAUACAUGGACUAUAAUGAUAGAUUGUUAAAUGCCCUUAAAAUUUUACAUCACACUUUAUAUAGUAAAAAUAUUAUCAUGAUAUCUAUUACAAUGAAAGAAUGACAUAAACAAAAAUAUUUUGGUAUUAAAAUAUUAACGAAAAAUAAUAAAUUAUAUGGUAUUAUUAGUAAAGUAAGGAACUAAAAAUUAUUGAAGUUUUUGUGGAAUAAACUCAUACGGAAUAAUAUGUCAAAAAAAUUAAUUGAACUUAACAAUUGUUUUUUAUUAGCUAUAAGAAUGAAAUUAAUAAAGAUAUAUAUUUUAGAGAUAUAUUAACCUUAUACAAAAUCAUCAUUAUCAAACUUUCAUCUUGCAUUAAGUCUAUAAUGAUAUUAUACUCAAAACAGAUUAAUCAUACUAAAAACCACAACAUAAUCUAUUAAUCCAAACUUCUUAAAAAUGAUGUUCUUCUCAUAUUGAAUAUAUAGUUUUUAUUGAAGUUAAUAGUAACUCAUCAUGAUUAAAAAACAUGUUGUUUAGAGUUAAUUUUGUUUGAUAGACAAUUAUAUCAUCUAACUAUAUUACUUUAUUGUGUAAUUCCACUAUAUUGAUAUAAGUCUCAAUUUGAUGUACGGGAAAAGAUAGAAAAGAAAGAAAUGGGAGGAGUACAUUUGUUUAGUUAAUUAAAAAAGCUAAAUAAAUAUGUUUAAAAAAUUGUGAAACUGUGAAGUAUAUGAUAAGAAAAUCUGAACUUGUAAAUAUUUAUAACUAAAGUCUGCAAAAAGUAUAAAUAUUUUAAUUAUUUAUUUGUUAAAAGAGUGAAUAUGGAUAUCAUGCUAUUUAGUUAGCGAAUGUUCACUGUCCAUUAUUAAUUAUUUUUAUUUGAAUAUAUUUUUUAAUUAAGCAAUUGAGUAAAAUUAUUAACGAGAAAACAUUAAAAAUUGAUGAAUUAUUUAUAACUUAAUUUUAUAAAUGUAUAGUUUUUAUUUAGACUUGUGGAGCUAAAAUUAUCUUCAAAAGAUUAAUUUUAUUUAAAGUUAUAUUGUGAAGAAUUUUUUUAGAAUGAUUAAUUUUUUUCUAAUAAUAGCUUAUGAAACAUUUUUAUUAUAAUUAUACAUUAAUAUCAAUAUUUUAUCUUAUUUUAUUUUAUGUUUUAAAGAAUAAUUUUUAAAUAAUAUUAUUUUCUUAAAAGAAGGAUCCACGUGUAUCUAUUGAAAUAGGCAAGUAUUUUAAAUAACAUUAUAUUUUUUUAGUAGAAAUACUUCUUCAUAAGAUUUAUUUAUAAAUAACAAGUCACUUUAGAUAUGGUUAUCUCCUACUUCCAUAUCAAUGUAGACUCUUAUAUGUGUGACGUCAUUUAUUAUGAACUUGAAAUGUACUAUCUUAAGUGUAUCCUAUAGAAAACACCAUCACAUUCAAGUCAAAUAAUAUAAAAAUUAAGUAAUAAAUGAAUAAUACAUAUUUUGAGAUCUUCACCAUUAACUUUUAUUUAUAUCGAGUAUCGGUGGUUAAAUAUGACUUUAGUAUUGAGUUAAGAUUUUAAUAAUAAAAAUAUAGUGUAAGGGAAAAUAAUGUUAAUAUUUUAAUACUUUUGCGUGUUGAAAGAAAGAAAACAAAUCUAAAAAUAACUAUAGUUUAAACUUCGUUAAUUUUAAUAAAAAGCAUCUUCAAAACCGUAUUUAGUAGUAUAUAUAAUUGUAUUAUUUCCAGUUAUUUAUUUUAUUUUGUAGAUGCUUUCUAAAUUUAAAGGAAGAACCCAGACUUUAACCAAAACAUAUUUCUAUCCAAAAUAAAUGUAUGGUUAUGGGAAAAAAUAGCCUACAAUUGAUCAUACAAUCCAUUCAUUAAAUAAUGGAGUACAAUACAAUGUGCUAUAAUGAACCCAACAACGUCUUGUUCUAGGUUUUGUAUAUUCAGUCAUUGAUUUCUAAAUUUUUAUAUGAAUGUUUACAAUAAUAUUUCAAGGUCAAGUUAGUACUUCCUCCGAAUAAAGAAUAUAAAGUAAAAAAAGUUAAGAAUUCAUUAAUUAAUACUUAGUUUGAAGAAAAAACAUAUAAUAAAAAGUUAUAUAUUUAUUAUUUUCAAUUCACCUAUUUAUAACGGUAUUCUUCUAGUUAAGAAGAAUGUCUUCCAACUAAAGAUUUAGUUUAGUCAAAAAUAGUUAUUUCCAACUAAAUUGUAGUUCUGUCUCAUACCAUCAUCUUCCUCUUUUAUUUAAUAAUUAUUUCUCUAUUAUAGUAUUUGUCUCAUUCUUAGAUACAUUCUUAGAUUAAUUACAAUCUCGCAUAUUCAGUUAAUGUUUGUCACUUUCAAUAAAAAAAAUAAAAAAAAAUUUCAUUAUUUUAAUAAAUAGAUCAAUAUCAUAACCGUUUUCAUCUAUUAUUGGAAUCGACUUAUGAUCUCACAGUUCUCAAAUUCCAACAUAAUCCAAUGAGACUAAUAAGAUCAUGAAGUAAUUAAUUAUAGGAUGUAUCUUAAAUUUUGACUGAAAUCCAUACCAUUGAGGUUGAUGCAAAAGUUCACAUAUACUAUUAUACCUCAUCUAUAGAAAUGAUUAAUUGAGAUCCAAAUAGACUUAGAUGCGCUUAAUCAUAAUUUAUAUAUUGUUUACUUUACUCUACUUAUUAAUUAUAUUAUUACACCCUUAAUUUCACUUUAGAGAUACUUGCAUCAUUCAGUGGUGAGAUGUUGGGAUAUCGAGUGUGAUAUCGACACCUCAUAUAUUCCGGUACAAUGCAUUUGAGGAAAAUAAAAACCGAUCAUAUGUAUAAUUUUUUGUUUUCUUCCAUGCUUGGUUGUCACUUAGGUCAAUUCAGCACGAACCAACAUACUCCAUUUCAUCUUCUCAUAAAUCGAAGACAAUAAUUCCAGGAAAUGAAAAUGGGGUAUGUUAAUAAAGAAAAAAAAUAAGAGAAAAUUGCACAUAAAUAAAAUUCAAUUGAGUUCUUAAAUUACAAUGAUAUUGAAAAGAGUAGAAAUAUAUAGUUAAUUUGGUGAAUAAACAAAGUAGGUUGGAAAAAUGCGAUGAAAGCAUGAUAAGAUAGUUGUGGUUGUCUGUGGAAAUGCGAAACCCCUCUUUCUUGUUUUGUUUUGCACAUAUUUUACAAGCAAAUCCGACAAACAGAAAGAAUUGCAUAAGUCCAAACCUACUGGUAUUAUUUAGACGUUAAUAAUUGCCAGCUUUUGCCAGCUCCUACUUCAUCAUUAAAAUAUAAUUUAAAAAAAUAGACACAGAAACAGUAGUGAAGACUUUGCUCCUCAGUCCCAAAAAAUGACAACGGGAUACACUGGAUUUCCACACUUUCUCACAUGCUCGUCUUUUUCAUUUUCUGCCACGUGUAUUGUAAUGUAGCAAGGUCCCUCUGGUUCCAGCUGCGCAAACCUCACUCUCUUCCUUCAUCAUCAUCAUCAUCAUCAUCUUCUACCACUACAGCCACAAUAAACAUGCAUACCGUAUUUUUUCUUUUCAAAUAUUAUACGUAUACUUUUUGAUAUUUUAUUUCCGUUUGAGUUGAGUAGUUGUUCUCCAUUUGCAACGGUUACCUAAUAUUAUUCUCUGUUUCCAUCUACCCCAUUAUCAACUACGUAUUGCAUAUAAAACAUUAGCGAUAAUGAAAGAAAGGGUCAUGUAUCUGCUUUCUCAAUCAUUAAUGCAAAAUUACCGAAUUUAAUGAUGUUACCAUUACGAAUGGAGAAAGGGUCAAACCAAAAAUAAAAAGUGCACCUUUUCAACUGGCGGACAAAGGACGAGACACGAGUGGCAUCAACGCGGGUAAAGCACCCCGCGUUUUACUACCAGACGGAACCCAUCAACGGGCUAUAAAGGACACACGUGUGAGUUCUAGAUCAACGGUCAAAACACAAGGGCACUCUAGUAAUAUCGUUAAACGACUUUAUGAGUUGUUGAAAAGUUAUGGUCUUUCCGAGGAAAGAAAAAGUAAAAAAUAAUAAUAAAAAUGGAUUUUUUUUCAUUAUUUUCAUAGUACACAUUUUGUUUUCAUUAAUGGAAUUUUAAAUUGUAUUAUUUUUUGUUGUUAGAACAAACAGAGGGCUAGAGUGAAAAUAAAUUUAACGGGGAGAGGAGAGAGAGUGGGAAGCAUAUGAGAAUAGGAAGAUGGGUGGAAAAAACGCCGUACAGAGGGGUGGCGGAUGACAGCGACUGCUCACUGACCCACAUAACUGACACGUGUCCUGACGCAAAAGGGUGUGGAGGUAAUAUUGAGCAAGCAUAAUGGAGAAAAAGGCAAAGAAGGAACACACAUUAACAAAAAUCAAUUGGGCAGAAGAUCCACAUAUGCCAGCUAAUAUUUUGCACAUUUACAGAAAGAGAGGAAAAAUUGUAGUAGAGGCGGAAGAAAGUUGAAAUGAAGAUAAAAUAAAAAAAAAGAAUAAAGAAUAAAAAAGUGGGAAUGGAGAGUUAAGUGUUGACCCAUUAUUAUUACUCACAUCACACCGGCCUGACCUAGUCCAGGGUAUUAGGGAAGAUGAGGAAUGGGGACAGGCAGCAUAGAAGGAGUAGAUGCACAUCACAACAUAUAAAAAUAUUAAUAUAUAUAGUAAGGUUGGGAAAAUAAUGAGAUAAAAAAAAUUGUGUGUGAGCAUAUAGAAGGAAAUUAAAUUAGGACAUUGGAGUUGGAGGAAUCUUUGAGCAUUAUUGAUGCAUUAAUCGCCACUCCUUCAACGGUUCAUAUCUUACCUCUUUUUAUAUAUUCUGUUCCCUUAUCAUCUUCCACUGCUCAACUCUCUCUCUCUCUCUCUCUAACACAAGCUUCCGUUUUUCUGUUUCUCUUCUCUCUACUCAGAACAUGGGUUCUUCUGCAGUACAAUUGUUUCUCAUCUUGGGGCUUCUGGCUACUUCUUGCAUAGCACAAGCCCCAGGUGGCGCACCCACGCAGCCUCCCACAACCACCCCACCACCACCGCCCGCAGCAGCACCAGUACCUGCACCCACUGCACCCGCAACUCCACCACCAUCUUCACCACCACCUGCACCCACACCCGCACCCACACCAACUGCUCCCACUCCUGCUCCAGCUUCUUCUCCUUCAUCUGCUGCAUCUCCCUCAGCUGAGUCACCAGGCUCUCCUACAUCUCCCCCAGCACCACCGGCCCCCUCAUCUGCACCUUCACCCUCAGUCAGCGAACCACCACCCUCACCCUCCUCCGCAUUCUCCGUUGGCAAGGCCUUCGUUGCCGGGUCUGCGCUCGCGGGAACCUUCGUAGCCAUGGUCUUGGCUUGAAGACAGACCUGACGGUUGGGAUUCGUCCACGUGGAGGCUCUUGGGCCCUUGAUCUUGUUUUACAGCGACGGACGGACGGACGGGAUCUGUUUCAUUUAUUUUAUCCUCUGGUCUUGUUGAGUAGCGGUUUUCUUUUUCUCUCUUUGGGGUUUUAUGUGUUAGUUUUGUUCGUUCGUGGUUGAUGUGUUUGUUGAUUCGAUAUCUGGGAGGGUUGGGUGUUGAUGAUGAUGAUGAUGAUGAUGAUGAUGGUGAUGGUAUUCAUGAUUAUGAUGAUUAUUUUGUGAUUCAUUGUUCUGGUGUUCACACGUGUACGUAGAUGACCUUGAUGAUUUCAUUGUACAUCUAAUAAUUGAAAGAAUAAAACAGUUUGUCAUUCUUUUUACUUACAAUCUUGUUCC
rnacentral:lncRNA from 1 species